GGAGGGGCUACCUAGCAAGGUGGCGCAAGUUGAGGCGGCCGGGCUAAAUGAGGAUGAAAUGGCCCUCAUCAUCAAGCGCUUCAAGACGGCGCUCAAAGGUCGCAAGGAGCAUCCCAACAAGAGCAAGACGAAGGGAAAGCGCUCCUGCUUCAAGUGUGGUAAGAUUGGUCACUUUAUUGCUAACUGUCCCGAUAAUGAUAGUGACCAGGAACAAGGGAAGAAUGGGAAAAGAGAGAACAAGAAGAUUUACAAGAAGGCUAAGGGCGAGGCACACCUUGGAAAAGAGUGGGACUCGGAUUGUUCCUCAUCUGACUCCGACGACGAAGGACUCGCCGCCACGGCCUUCAACAAAUCGUCUCUCUUCCCCAACGAGCGUCACACCUGCCUAAUGGCAAAGGAGAAGAAGGUAAGCACUCGAAAUACUAGUACAUAUGCUUCUUCAAGUGAUGAUGAAUCUAGUGAUGAUGAAGUAGACUACGCAAGUUUAUUCAAAGGUUUAGAUAGAACUAAAAUUGAUAAGAUCAAUGAAUUAAUUGAUGCUUUGAAUGAGAAUAAUAGAUUGUUAGAAAAGCAAGAGGAUCUUUUAUAUGAAGAGCAUGAUAAAUUUGUAAAUGUGCAAAAGUCUCUUGCUUUAGAAGUUAAAAGAAAUGAAAUGCUUUCAUGUGAAUUAUCUACUUGUCAUGAGUCUAUUUCUAGUCUAAAGAGUAUCAAUGAUGACUUAAAUGCUAAGUUAGAAAUAACUAAUAAAUCAAGCUCAUGUAUUGAACAUAUAGUAAUUUGCAAUAGGUGUAAGGACUUUAAUGUUGAUGCUUGUGUUGAGCACGUUACUACUAUUGUGAAAUUAAAUGGUGAAGUGGCUAGUCUUAAUGCCCAACUUAAGACUAGCAAAAAUGACUUUGAUAAACUAAAAUUUGCAAGGGAUGCCUACACUAUUGGUAGACACCCCUCUAUUAAGGAUGGACUUGGCUUUCGAAGGGAAGCCAAGAACUUAACAAGUCAUAAGGCUCCCAUCUCUGCCAAGGAGAAAGGGAAGGCCCCUAUGGCUAAUAAUGGUCAAAAGAAUCAUGCUUUCAUUUAUAGUGAUAGAAAAUUCUCUAGAAAUGCUUAUAGGAACUAUGCUUAUGAUUCACAUGUGAUGACUGCUUCUAGUUCCUCUAUUGUGCAUGGUAGAAAUAUGCCUAGGAAAAAUGUUGUUCAUAUGUCUAGGAAAGUAAGUAAUGAACUGUCUACAAUUUACCAUACUUGUAAUGCUUCCUUUGCAAUUUAUAGUCUGAAUAAGAAAGUGAUUGCUAGGAAGUUGGGGGCCAAAUGCAAGGGAGAUAAGACUUGCAUUUGGGUCCCUAAGGCUAUUAUAACUAACCUUGUAGGACCCAACAAGAGUUGGGUACCUAAAACCCAAGCCUAAUUUGCUUUGCAGGUUUAUGCAUCCGGGGGCUCAAGCUGGAUUAUCGACAGCGGAUGCACAAACCACAUGACGGGGGAGAAGAAGAUGUUCUCCUCCUACGUCAAGAACAAAGAUCCCCAAGAUUCAAUCAUAUUCGGUGAUGGGAAUCAAGGCAAGGUUAAAGGACUAGGAAAGAUAGGUAUUUCAUCCAAGCAUUCCAUAUCUAAUGUGUUUCUAGUUGAGUCGCUCGGGUAUAACUUGUUGUCUGUUAGUCAAUUAUGUAAUAUGGGGUACAAUUGCUUAUUUACAAAUGUAGAUGUGUCUGUCUUUAGAAGGAGUGAUGGUUCAUUAGCUUUUAAGGGUGUACUAGACGGCAAACUCUAUUUAUUUGAUUUUUCAAAGGAGGAGGCCGAUCUAGAUGCAUGCUUAAUCGCUAAGACUAGCAUGGGCUGGCUGUGGCAUCGCCGUCUAGCACAUGUGGGGAUGAAGAACCUUCACAAACUUCUAAAGGGAGAACAUGUGUUAGGUCUAACAAAUGUAACUUUCGAAAAAGAUAGACCUUGUGCAGCUUGUCAAGCAGGUAAACAGGUGGGAAGUACUCAUAAUAGCAAAAAUGUGAUGACCACAUCAAGACCUUUGGAGCUACUUCAUAUGGAUCUCUUCGGACCCGUCGCCUACCUCAGCAUCGGGGGAAGUAAGUAUGGUCUUGUUAUAGUUGAUGAUUUUUCCCGCUUCACUUGGGUAUUCUUUUUGCAGGAAAAAACAAAAACCCAAGGGACCCUUAAGCGCUUCCUAAGGAGAGCUCAAAACGAAUUUGAGCUCAAGGUGAAGAAGAUAAGGAGCGACAACAGGUCCGAGUUCAAGAACCUUCAAGUGGAAGAGUACCUUGAGGAGGAAGGAAUCAAGCACGAGCUCUCCGCUCCCUACACACCACAGCAAAACGGUGUGGUACAGAGGAAGAACAGGACGCUUUUGGACAUGGCAAGGACGAUGCUUGAUGAAUUCAAGAUGCCCGAACGGUUUUGGACGGAAGCUGUGAACACGGCUUGCCACGCCAUAAACCGGGUCUACCUUCAUCGCCUCCUCAAGAAGUCGUCGUACGAACUCCUAACCGGUAACAAACCCAACGUGUCAUACUUUCGUGUAUUUGGGAGCAAAUGUUAUAUUCUAGUGAAGAAAGGUAGGAAUUCCAAAUUUGCUCCCAAAGUUGUAGAAGGGUUUUUGUUAGGUUAUGACUCAAAUACAAAGGCGUAUAGAGUCUUCAACAAAUCAUCGGGUUUGGUUGAAAUCUCUAGCAACGUUGUAUUUGAUGAGACUAAUGUCUCUCCAAGAGAACAAGUUGAUCUUGAUGAUAUAGAUGAAGAAGAUGUUCCAGCGGCCGCAAUACGCACCAUGGCGAUUGGAGAUGUGCGACCAUAGGAACAAAAGGAGCAAGAUCAACCUUUUUCCUUAACAAUGGUGCAUCCCCCAACUCAAACUGAUGAACAGGUUCAUCAAGAAGAGGCGUGUGAUCAAGGGGGAGCACAAGAUGAUCAUGCUUUGGAGGAAGAAGCACCACAUGCCCCUCCAACUCAAGUCCGAGCGACGAUUCAAAGGAAUCAUCUCGUCGACCAGAUAUUGGGUGAUAUAAGCAAGGAGUAACUACUCGCUCUAGAUUAGGUAAUUUUUGUGAGCAUUACUCUUUUGUCUCUUCUAUUGAGCCUUUCAGGGUAGAAGAGGCCUUGCUAGAUCCGGACUGGGUGUUGGCCAUGCAGGAAGAGCUUAAUAACUUCAAGCGAAAUGAAGUUUGGACACUGGUGCCACGUCCCAAGCAAAACGUUGUGGGAACCAAGUGGGUGUUUCGCAACAAACAAGACGAGCAUGGGGUGGUGACAAAGAACAAGGCUAGACUUGUGGCAAAAGGUUAUGCCCAAGUCGCAGGUUUGGACUUUGAGGAGACUUUUGCUCCUGUGGCUAGGCUAGAGUCUAUUCGCAUAUUGUUAGCCUAUGAUGCUCACCAUUCUUUCAGGUUGUUCCAAAUGGAUGUGAAGAGCGCUUUCCUCAACGGGCAAAUCAAGGAGGAGGUGUACAUAGAGCAACCCCUGGCUUUGAGGAUGAACGGUACCCAGACCACGUGUGUAAGCUCUCUAAGGCGCUCUAUGGACUUAAGCAAGCCCCAAGAGCAUGGUAUGAAUGCCUUAGAGACUUUCUAAUUGCUAAUGCUUUCAAGGUUGGGAAGGCCGAUCCAACUUUAUUCACUAAGACUUGUGAUGGUGACUUAUUUGUGUGCCAAAUUUAUGUCGAUGACAUAAUAUUUGGUUCUACUAACCAAAAGUCUUGUGAAGAGUUUAGCAAGGUGAUGACUCAAAAGUUUGAGAUGUCGAUGAUGGGCGAGUUGAACUACUUCCUUGGGUUCCAAGUGAAGCAACUCAAGGACGGCACUUUCAUCUCCCAAACGAAGUACACGCAAGAUUUGAUCAAGCGGUUUGGGAUGAAGGACGCCAAGCCCGCAAAGACUCCAAUGGGAACCGACGGGCACGUCGACCUCAACAAAGGAGGUAAGUCUGUUGAUCAAAAGGCAUACCGGUCUAUGAUAGGUUCUUUGCUUUACUUAUGUGCUAGUAGACCGGAUAUUAUGCUAAGCGUAUGCAUGUGUGCUAGAUUUCAAUCCGAUCCAAGGGAGUGUCACCUUGUGGCCGUUAAGCGAAUACUUAGAUAUUUAGUUGCUACGCCUUGCUUCGGGAUCUGGUAUCCAAAGGGGUCAACCUUCGACUUGAUUGGAUACAUAGACUCCGAUUAUGCUGGAUGCAAGGUUGAUAGGAAGAGUACAUCAGGGACGUGCUAAUUUCUAGGAAGGUCCCUGGUGUCGUGGAGUUCUAAGAAACAAACUUUCGUUGCCCUAUCCACCGCUGAGGCCGAGUAUGUUGCCGCAGGACAGUGUUGUGCGCAACUACUUUGGAUGAGGCAAACCCCCAGGGACUUUGGCUACAAUCUGAGCUAAGUCCCACUCCUAUGUGAUAAUGAGAGUGCUAUCCACAUGGCGGAUAAUCCUGUUGAACAUAGCCGCACUAAGCACAUAGACAUCCGGCAUCACUUUUUGAGAGACCACCAGCAAAAGGGAGAUAUCGAAGUGUUUUACGUUAGCACCGAGAACCAGCUAGCCGAUAUCUUUACCAAGCCUCUAGAUGAGUCAACCUUUUGCAGGUUGCGUAGUGAGCUAAAUGUCUUAGAUUCGCGUAACUUGGAUUGAUAUAUAGCAUACAUGUGUUUAUGCCCUUGAUCAUGUUCUUUUAUGCAUAUUGUUGCUUGUUUAUGGUGCUCAAGUUGUACACAUGAUCCCCGGACCUCACAAGUCCAUUCGCAAGUGAUGCACUUAUUUAGGGGGAGGCAUGCUACAACUUGACACUUUGAGACUAACCUGUGCUUGAGUUUACUUGUUCUAGUCUCAAAAGUGGAUUGAAAGGGAAAGGUGGACUUGGACCAUGAAAGACUUCCACUGCACUCCGAUGAGAGGGUAACUUACUCCAAGUUCAUCUCCGUGCUAUUAUUGCCUUUUUACUCCUAAUUGAGGAUUUUGGUGAGGCAAUGAGGUUAAAGGGGCCAAAAAUGAUCCCGUUUUGGUGCUUAAUGCCAAAGGGGGAGAAAUUAAGGCCAAAGCAAGAAUGGACCAGCUACCACUUGAGAAUUUUGAAAAUAGUAGAGUUAGAGUCUUUGUUUUGUCAAAAUUCUAUUGUCUCUUUUUGUCAAAAGUUGGUCUCUUGUGGGGAGAAUGGUUGAUUAUGGGAAAAAGGGGGAGUUUUUGAAUCCUUGAUCAAUUUCUCUUAGAAUAUCUCUCUUUAUGUCUCAACAAGUGUGUUUGACUUAAAGAUAGGAAAUUGAGUUUGAUUUGCAUUAAUGUUGCACUUCUAUGAGUUGCUUUGUGUUGUGUUGGCAUAAAUCACCAAAAAGGGGGAGAUUGAAAGGGAAAUGUGCCCUUGGGCCAUUUCUAAGGAUUUUGGUGAUUAGGUGUCCAACACAAAUGCCUUAAGUAUUAAUAAGUGUCAAAUGGUGGAUGAAGUGAAAAUCAACACAAAGGUAUGAUUCUAGACUUAGUACAUUGGUUUUUGUGUACUAACGUAUUUGUCUAAGUGCUAGAAUCAGAGAAAACACAAAAGGAAAAAGACUUGGCUGGAGCUGCCAAGACUUUGCGCAGUCUGGGUGCACCGGACUGUCCGGUGGUGCACCAGACAGUGUCCGGUGCGCCAUGCUGGCGUCUGGUGUGACGGAACCUCCCAAGUAAUUAGGCCCACCUACAGUUGUCCUUGCCUCACAGACAUCAGACAACCCUGUAGGUGCCCCUGAACUACUUGACAAGCUCGGUAUCUUUCCUUACCUUACCAGGAACGUCUCACCCAUCUUGUAGACAUUACAGAACAUCGGAGAUGAAGAAAUGCGGAAGCGAAUUACAUAAUCUUACAUUUAUUUCAAAAGCAAGCCUGAGUUAUGUUAUUACAGACCAGAUUAAAAGUGAGUGCAGAGUAGUAAUAUUAUACAAGCCAGGGGAGGCACAAACUCCUCCCGAUAAGUUUAAUAAACAAAAGAUCCUAAUUGGAGGACUGAGUCCUCCCGCACUUCAGUCUUCUUUUUCCUCAUUUGGUACCACCUUGGAGCAGAAGCAACAAAAGUUUGUCGCUUCCUCACCCAAAAACAACAAAGGGAUAAACCCUGAGUAUGGAAUACUCAGCAAGUCUUACCCGACUAAGGAAAAGACUCUCAAGGGUAUGCUGGAUAAAUAGGAGUCAAGGAGAGGCUUUAGCAAAAAUCAACUUAUACUUUUGCAGAAGUAGCUUACUAAAGUGAGUCCUUACUUUCAGUCUUUUAACGCCAUAUUAAGUAUUAAUAGACUCCAUUUGCAUCUAGUCUAAUUUCACAUCACAUCAAGGCAACAUCAUUUUUAUCCAUCGUUUUCACAUCCUGACUCUAGGUUGCAGGGAAGUGACCAAGUCUUCAUAACCGCGAAGGUACGGCGAUCCGAAUCGAUUAUACUCAGCUGAGGAUCUCCAAUCACACGACAUAUGUAGCACUUAACCCUUGCAUAUGUCAACCCGCCACCGGGGUUCUUAAGACCGGAUCAGGUUCACGCAAACCGAGAGCACAGAUACACCACCGUCCGGCCUCUUGCCACGGAGGGUACACGCUACUCUCGCCACCGCUCCACGCCCAUUUCGUGUUAUCUUAUUCCGGCCUUAGUCUGCCCGAGGCAAGGCUUACCCAUGACGAGGCAUGUGACCAGUUAAAGGGUCCUCGGUCAGCACGCCUACAUACGCGUUAAUCCUUAACCAACCUGGGUAGAACAUCACCUGUUCCUACCCCAAGUUUCAAUUUAAGUAUUUCCAUCCUUAGGAUUGUGUCUGUUCCUUAGGAUGAAAGAGCAUCACAGGGAACUUUGCAGUAAGAUCCCACCAUUGCUCCAAAUGAAAAUAUUCUUGCAGGUAGAAGCCAUCCUUUCUCGAGUUAAAUUAAGGACAACCUCUAUCCACAAGAUCUAAGCAAGGCUAAGCAUUUUUGUAAAUCAUAUUUUGAUACUUCACAGAAGUAUCUAUAAAGGUAUGGAUAUCAAGGAAAGCAAUGCAUCAAAGGGUUCCAAGCAACUCCUAUGAACCUAAUGCACAUUUCACUAGACUUAAAGUGUGCGAAAAGUAUUUUAAAAACACAAGGAAAGGGGUUGCAUGCACCGGGGCUUGCCUUCGUUCACAGGUGAAUCAGGCUCGGACCCGCAGACGUCGAAGUAGAGCCAAGUCCUUGCCCGAGAUUCCAAAGGUGGUGGUGUCUUCUUCAAUCACUUCACUCUCUUCUCCGUUUUCUAAAUAUAACCAUAUAGGUAUAUAUAUAAGAAUGAAUGCUAUGUAAUGUUUAUGAGAGUGCAAAGAUAAUAAAAAUUUAUUAACUAAGUCUUGAGUACAACUUUCCUUCACGGAGUUCCGGGAACUUAGGGUUUCCGGAGUCGGUAAAGGAGUUCAUAGGGCAGGGGGGGUGUUUUGGGUUUGGUGAUCAAACAAGGUCCAAAACAAUUCAAACUCUACCCAAGUCUUCUAAAUAUUAUGAGGAACUCAUAUAAAAAUUUUGAGCAUUUUUGGAAUUACCAUUUGUUUUCUAAAAAUCCAGAAUCAAUAGUUUAGGUUAUUUUAAAUACCCUAAAAUUCCUUGUUCAAACUAAAAAUCAUAAAACUAUUUUUAUUAAGUACUAUGGAAAAUAACAAGCCUAGGAAAAUUAGUCUCAUAUUUUUAGGAUUUUUCUAUAAUUUUCUACAGAUUUCUAGAGUUCUGCUGUAAAAGAAAAAAGGAAAACGAUAAAACAGUACUGGGCCGAUUCUGGCCCAACAAGCCCAGGUUCAGGGAGAACAGUGCUCGCGCCCGCGCGCGCGCGCCCGCGCCCAGGCAAUUUUGCAGAAAGGGCCUCGCGCUUCUGGCUAAACAGAACUAGGUCCCUUUACUAUUGUUUUGAGUCACUGACGGUUCACGGAAAGGUCCCCGGGUUCUUGUCAAUUCACAACUCGCAGUCCCCGACGGCGCUCAAGCACGGCCGCGCUCCGGCAAGCAACUACGCCGGCCGAUUGAGGCUAAGACUGGUGCUAAUCUUCGGCUGAGCCCAAAUUCGAGUUCCUAUGAACGUUUUCCUCAACUAAAUUACACUAUCGGUGGACUAGGGAGUUCCGGCCACGGUGGCCGUAAGCAAAAUGGGGACAUGAUCAUGUUCCCGGCGACCCAGGGCGGUCUAGUUCGAUUCAAUGCUUCGGUAAGCAUCAAGAGGACACAAAGAUGUUGAAACAAGAGAACCGAGGGUGAGAUCGGACCUGAAACGGGCUGUCCACGGCGAGCUCGAUUCACGGCGGCGGAAAAUGGAUUUGGGGGAAACGAGAAAUUCAAGUGCGCGGGUGGAUGAUUGUGGCCGAUUAGCGGUGGCUGGAUGCGUAAGGAUGUGGUGAAGCUCACGGCGGGGUCAAUUUAUAGAGCUCCGAAGCGGUGGCACUUAAUUUGAUCGCGAUGCGUCGACGGCCGGAGAGGAGGAAGAAGCACUGGCUUCGCGGGUACGUGGCCAACGACGUGGCAGUAACUCCGGUGAGCCACGGAGGGUUCAGAGAAGGUCAUGGCGACACGGUUAAAGUGUAGAGCCACGCGGCACCCGGCCGAGAGGCGGCGGUCGACGGCGAGUACUUACCGCCAGCCGCAAAGUCGAAGGAAGACAGGGGGGGUUCAUCGGAGUGGUGGCCAGCUCACUGGUGACGAGGACCUUACCGCGACAGACUUAUCUAGUGACCGCCGAGCACGAAUCACAGCGACGACGAUCGACGGCGACGGCUACCGGCGACGGGCACGGGAAAGAUCUUCUUCAGGUUUAACGGUUACUGUACCAUGGCCAUAGUUCAUCAGUGCACCUGACCGAGCGAGUUGAGAGCCAUUUUUCUCCAGAUUUCAUGUGACGACAGGUCCAAGUCUCUGCACCAAAGUUGUAGUGCUACAUACCAGCUACAACUCAACUAUAGGACUUGAUCACAUUUGAGCACUGGAUCCAAAUCAAAAUCAAGCUCAAAGUUCACCCCAUAGCACUGCAACUCUGAAAUUCAGCUCCAAACAGUCUGACAGCCAGUUUUGGACUGGGUUUUCUCCAAAUUCUUCAUAACAACUAUGCUUACAACCUUAAGCAAAGUAGUUCUCCUAUAAUUGGUCUUCAACUUUGAUGUGGUGACCUAGGGCAAACACCCUAUGCUUUGUAAGUUACAAAGCCCUAAAGUGGAGCCUUUAACACUGAAUUUCACACUUAGUGUAGAACUCAAAUGAGGUCCAUUUUGCACUUAAGUCCAAAUCUCAGGGUUUGGCUUGUAAAUUCACAUAUUUGUGAACCAAUUGUCUUUAGAUGCUUAAACAUAGUAGUUUUUACAUUUUAGUCCAAAGGUUCAUCACUUUUGCACAUAAGCCCCUAGGGUUUGGUUUAGGGUUUUCCAGGGUUCCAAUUAGGGUUUCUGGCAUCCCAGGGGUAUAAAUGUGAUUCAAGUUUAUUUUUGGGGUCAUUUUAUGGCUUUUACCCUAAAAUCUUUAGGUUUUCUUAACUUGGGUUAAAUUCUACCCCUUUAACCACUAUUUAGGGUUAAGUCCAUUAAACAGGGUUUCAUUUGCAAAAACAUUAAAACAACACAACUUGUUUGAAAUUUUUGCCUAGUGAAUGCACUCUAGGUGUGUCAAACAUAUGCAAUGCUAAUGCUUAUGAUGUCAUGCUCAAGUUUUAGUUAUAGUAACACCAGGGGUGUUACAUCCUUCCCCCCAUAAAAGAAUCUCGUCCCGAGAUUAAAAAUCCUAGGGUAAGUAAUGGUAAAGGAAACGCAUCACAUUUUUAUUUCCUUAUUUUUGGUACAAGACAGGGGUGAUGUGGGGGUUACUUCUUUAUUACAACAGCUAUACAGGCUUUACAAUUUACAUGGGGCUAGAAAGCCUGGGAAAUUCUUAUUCAAGAAGUCUUGAGUUUCCCAUGUAGCUUCAUCUUCAGAAUGCUGGUUCCACCGUAUCUUGUAGAACUUGAGAGUCUUUCUUCGGGUGAUCCUGUCCUUUUGAUCCAGAACUCGAAUAGGAUGUUCCGAGUAUGUUAAAUCUGGUUCCAGGACAACAUCAGUCACUUCAAUGGUUCGAUCAGGAACCCGAAGACACUUCUUCAAUUGUGACACGUGGAACACGUUAUGCACAGCAGACAAUGUUUCGGGUAGUUGGAGUCGGUAUGCCACUGGUCCGCAUUGCUUAAUCACCAGGAAUGGACCAAUGUACCUGGGUGCAAGUUUCCCUUUAACCCCGAAACGCAAUACACCCUUCAUUGGUGAAACUUUUAAGUAGACAUAAUCGUCUACCAGAAAGCAUAAGGGUUGUCGUCGUCGGUCUGCAUAACUCUUUUGUCGAGUCUGAGCUUUCUUCAUAUUAUGAAUAAUUUUCUGAACCUUUUCUUCGACCUCUUUCACCAUAUCAGGCCUAAAGAAGUAUCUUUCUCCAGGUUCAGACCAAUUUAGCGGAGUACGACAUCGUCGUCCAUAUAAAGCUUUAAAGGGUGCUAUCUUGAUACUUUCUUGAUAGCUAUUAUUAUAUGAAAACUCCGCUAAGGGCAAACAUUCAUCUCAUUUCUGUGGGAAGUCCAGAACACAUGCCCGCAGCAUAUCUUCCAGUAUUUGAUUGACCCUCUCAGUCUGCCCACUGGUUUGAGGAUGAUAAGCCGAACUGUGGAGCAAAUUAGUACCCAGGGAUUUAUAAAGUUCUUCCCAGAAUUUGGAUACGAAUUGCGAUCCAUGAUCCGACACUAUAGUCUUCGGAACACCAUGCGGACUAAGAGUGCGAGCAAUGUAUAAUUGGGCAUAGACAGUAACCGGGUGAUCGGUCUUGACUGGCAGAAAAUGAGAAAUUUUCGUAAGCCGAUCAACAAUAACCCAGAUAGAGUCAUACCCCUUUUGUAGUCCUGGGUAAUCCCACGAUGAAGUCCAUAUAAUAUCUUCCCCUUUCCAUGUUGGGACAGGUAAGGAUUGUAAUGGACCAGCAGUCUUCAUGUAUAUGGCCUUGACAUGUUUACAAGUGUCACAUCUAGCCACGUAGUGUGCAAUUUCAAUUUGCAUCUUUGCCCACCAGAAGAACACAUAAGGUUCCAUGUGUGCAACUUGCUUCUUCUGAUGACACUGUACUAUCUGAGUCUGUUGGGUGGCAAUUAUGCAACUUUACCCAAAUAGAAUCAGAUGCACCAUCUUGGGUAAAACACACAAGAAGAGGUUUACCAACAAGUGGUUACAGUAAGUUCAUAGCACACGAGACGAGUGUGAAUGUCGAGUAACAUCAUGGUCUACUCGUGUUAGCCAGGGAAUCCAAAUUCACGAAAGGUGAUAUUGAUUCAAGAAAAAUCACCAGUGGAGGGAUCUAAAAAUGCGGACUUUGCAACUAGUCCAUUUUAUCGGGCACUAGACAUGGCUCGACCCAAUCACUUAUGCUGGAAAAGCAUACAUGAGGCAAUCGAGGCACGACUAGAGCGAUGGAUAGGUGGUUAUUGACCGACUUAAUCUCGAUUCUGGAAAAUUCUUCCUUAAGAGGGGUUGUACAAAAGUGAGCUUAGAUAACUCGAUAAAACGAUCUCUAAACUCAACCUUCGUUCACCAGGCAGUUACACGUUAGUGAAACCAACUUGUUGAACUACUUUUGACAUUGAGCAAGUCCUCUCAGUACCAUCGGUAAGCCAAGGGUUGAGAGUUCACAUUUGCAAGCCAAAGGUCAUGCAUUUGGAUAGAAAUCCAUUUGGUCAGGUUGUUCAUUCGUUUCUUCAAGCGAGAUGAAUUAUCCACUUGGUUAGGGAAUACAUAGAUUAAUUAGGAAAGCGAAUGAACAAACUCCUGCAUUUCAGCAGCAGGGGAAAGUCAAUCUCCAAUUUGAGAGCUAAUUAGUUGUUUUCUUACACUAAAAAGCUCCAAGGCUUCACCUUUACACAAAGGAUGCAAAGGGAACUUGUGUGAGUAGUCACUACCAAGAUCAAAAGAAAUAAGACCACACAUGAAAGUGGUAUGCCCUUUUGAUCCAAUGGAAAUGACAGAUGUUGCUUGAUCUCUUCAAGACAACAUAGAGAGUGUUUCAAGGAAAGGUCAAUGGAAGACAACACAUCAGUGUAAUUCCAUAAUGGAUCAUGACUAGAGACCUCGAUACCGACAUGCGCCAAGCAGCAAAAUCCUGGGUGCACAUUCAUAGGAGGCUCUCAGCUUCGCCGCGGUACCAUAAGUUCUUAACCAUGUCACCAAUAGAUUGAGCAAGGGUGAUUAUACACAACGAAAUACUCCACUAAUAAAGAUGGUUACAAGUAGAGAGCCAAAUAGAUCAUGGCCCAAGGCAUGGCCAUAAUCUAAACUUGAUAGAAGGAGUACGAUGGGAGACUGUUAAUUCAGCCCAAUCAUAUUUCUAUGCCCAUCGCAGAGAUCACAAGGUCAAGGCUUAAGUUGGUAUGCCUUCGAUAGAUAUGAAGAAACCAAAGGCAUCAAAUUCAAGGAAAUGGUCGGACAUGUCUUUCCUAGGUUGGGUUAAUAAAGUAACCUGACGAUCCACAAGGAGAGGCCAACUAUACUAGAGACUUCAACCUGCAUCAGCUGAUCAAGAGAAUGGCUCUAAAAGGAGGCACGACUUGAGAUCCUUGUUUGAAGUCUAGGUAUACUCUAGGUCCGACAAAGAAAUUAUCUAGGCAUUUACUUGUACGGGUGUGGUCAUGAAAUGAUAACGGAAAAUUCGACUUUGGGUCGGGUCAUGGUUCACUAAAGCCUAAUUCUUGGGUUUAGGCAACCAAGUCAUCAACUCUCUAUUGGUCAUAACUCAACCUGAUGGUUCUCGGAUCAAGGUUGAGAAUUGCUUUUUGCUGGGCUAACCAGUUCAUGCCCAAGAUGACAUCCAUGUCUUGGCUUUUCAGAACAAUCAUAUUAGUAGGAAAGUCCUGUCUGGCCAAUGUUAAGGGCACCUGAUAAGCCACUUCUUUUCACUUUUGGUAGCUUUACUGUCGGGCGUAGAAGACCAUUCGUCAACCAACUUCAUAGAGGGAGGGGGCCUGAAAAGGUCCGGUUCACCAUCACGUGCUUCUCCCGCUACAUGAGAAGGUCCGGCUUCUGUCCCGACAAGAUUCACAGGGACGUUCGGGUGCAGUUGUGAAUACAACACAUGCACUUCUUCAUGUAGUGCAUUACAACAGACCUGCAAGUUAUCCAUGGCUAAGCUAAGCUCCUCCACACGGGCUCGAGCUUUGGCUUCCUUAGCCCAGACGAGUAAACGAGAGUUAACCACCCAAUCGAGUGCUAAAUCUCGUUUCGCGAGUUGGUCUUGCAAGUAGCGGAUGGCUGCAUCCGCGAUCCAUAGAUCAUUCUUGUGACGGAGUUCUGACUGAAGCAGUUCGACUUGUGCUUCCAGAUCCCGAUAGGAUCGUUGCUACCACUGCUACUUUCUUCAUGUCUUGGAGUAAGUUAAUGGCAGGGUACGCCAAUGGGUCUAGUAGAUUUGCGCGCGGUCUUUCUGAUGCGCGACAACAUUUCUCUAAGGGGGAAACUUUAUUAAUAUAGUGCUUAGCAUGAUGCAUGUGUAAGUACAGAAUCAACCUUAGUCGAUUCAACCUUCUAUACAUUGCACUCUUCCUAUCUGGUCUUUAAGAUAGACUUCUUUAGAAUACUUAGGUAAGAAGAGAAAAGAAUUCUUAGGUAAGACUUUCAAAAAUUCUUUUGAAGAUGCCUCAUAAUAUCUGCCAAGAAGGGCUACGCUCCGAUACCAGCUGUGACGGAACCUCCCAAGUAAUUAGGCCCACCUACAGUUGUCCUUGCCUCACAGACAUCAGACAACCCUGUAGGUGCCCCUGAACUACUUGACAAGCUCGGUAUCUUUCCUUACCUUACCAGGAACGUCUCACCCAUCUUGUAGACAUUACAGAACAUCGGAGAUGAAGAAAUGCGGAAGCGAAUUACAUAAUCUUACAUUUAUUUCAAAAGCAAGCCUGAGUUAUGUUAUUACAGACCAGAUUAAAAGUGAGUGCAGAGUAGUAAUAUUAUACAAGCCAGGGGAGGCACAAACUCCUCCCGAUAAGUUUAAUAAACAAAAGAUCCUAAUUGGAGGACUGAGUCCUCCCGCACUUCAGUCUUCUUUUUCCUCAUUUGGUACCACCUUGGAGCAGAAGCAACAAAAGUUUGUCGCUUCCUCACCCAAAAACAACAAAGGGAUAAACCCUGAGUAUGGAAUACUCAGCAAGUCUUACCCGACUAAGGAAAAGACUCUCAAGGGUAUGCUGGAUAAAUAGGAGUCAAGGAGAGGCUUUAGCAAAAAUCAACUUAUACUUUUGCAGAAGUAGCUUACUAAAGUGAGUCCUUACUUUCAGUCUUUUAACGCCAUAUUAAGUAUUAAUAGACUCCAUUUGCAUCUAGUCUAAUUUCACAUCACAUCAAGGCAACAUCAUUUUUAUCCAUCGUUUUCACAUCCUGACUCUAGGUUGCAGGGAAGUGACCAAGUCUUCAUAACCGCGAAGGUACGGCGAUCCGAAUCGAUUAUACUCAGCUGAGCUCUCCAAUCACACGACAUAUGUAGCACUUAACCCUUGCAUAUGUCAACCCGCCACCGGGGUUCUUAAGACCGGAUCAGGUUCACGCAAACCGAGAGCACAGAUACACCACCGUCCGGCCUCUUGCCACGGAGGGUACACGCUACUCUCGCCACCGCUCCACGCCCAUUUCGUGUUAUCUUAUUCCGGCCUUAGUCUGCCCGAGGCAAGGCUUACCAUGACGAGGCAUGUGACCAGUUAAAGGGUCCUCGGUCAGCACGCCUACAUACGCGUUAAUCCUUAACCAACCUGGGUAGAACAUCACCUGUUCCUACCCCAAGUUUCAAUUUAAGUAUUUCCAUCCUUAGGAUUGUGUCUGUUCCUUAGGAUGAAAGAGCAUCACAGGGAACUUUGCAGUAAGAUCCCACCAUUGCUCCAAAUGAAAAUAUUCUUGCAGGUAGAAGCCAUCCUUUCUCGAGUUAAAUUAAGGACAACCUCUAUCCACAAGAUCUAAGCAAGGCUAAGCAUUUUUGUAAAUCAUAUUUUGAUACUUCACAGAAGUAUCUAUAAAGGUAUGGAUAUCAAGGAAAGCAAUGCAUCAAAGGGUUCCAAGCAACUCCUAUGAACCUAAUGCACAUUUCACUAGACUUAAAGUGUGCGAAAAGUAUUUUAAAAACACAAGGAAAGGGGUUGCAUGCACCGGGGCUUGCCUUCGUUCACAGGUGAAUCAGGCUCGGACCCGCAGACGUCGAAGUAGAGCCAAGUCCUUGCCCGAGAUUCCAAAGGUGGUGGUGUCUUCUUCAAUCACUUCACUCUCUUCUCCGUUUUCUAAAUAUAACCAUAUAGGUAUAUAUAUAAGAAUGAAUGCUAUGUAAUGCUUAUGAGAGUGCAAAGAUAAUAAAAAUUUAUUAACUAAGUCUUGAGUACAACUUUCCUUCAUGGAGUUCCGGGAACUUAGGGUUUCCGGAGUCGGUAAAGGAGUUCAUAGGGCAGGGGGGGUGUUUUGGGUUUGGUGAUCAAACAAGGUCCAAAACAAUUCAAACUCUACCCAAGUCUUCUAAAUAUUAUGAGGAACUCAUAUAAAAAUUUUGAGCAUUUUUGGAAUUACCAUUUGUUUUCUAAAAAUCCAGAAUCAAUAGUUUAGGUUAUUUUAAAUACCCUAAAAUUCCUUAUUCAAACUAAAAAUCAUAAAACUAUUUUUAUUAAGUACUAUGGAAAAUAACAAGCCUAGGAAAAUUAGUCUCAUAUUUUUAGGAUUUUUCUAUAAUUUUCUACAGAUUUCUAGAGUUCUGUUGUAAAAGAAAAAAGGAAAAGGAUAAAACAGUACUGGGCCGAUUCUGGCCCAACAAGCCCAGGUUCAGGGAGAACAGUGCUCGCGCCCGCGCCCAGGCAAUUUUGCAGAAAGGGCCUCGCGCUUCUGGCUAAACAGAACUAGGUCCCUUUACUAUUGUUUUGAGUCACUGACGGUUCACGAAAAGGUCCCCGGGUUCUUGUCAAUUCACAACUCGCAGUCCCCGACGGCGCUCAAGCACGGCCGCGCUCCGGCGAGCAACUACGCCGGCCGGUUGAGGCUAAGACUGGUGCUAAUCUUCGGCUGAGCCCAAAUUCGAGUUCCUAUGAACGUUUUCCUCAACUAAAUUACACUAUCGGUGGACUAGGGAGUUCCGGCCACGGUGGCCGUAAGCAAAAUGGGGACAUGAUCAUGUUCCCGGCGACCCAGGGCGGUCUAGUUUGAUUCAAUGCUUCGGUAAGCAUCAAGAGGACACAAAGAUGUUGAAACAAGAGAACCGAGGGUGAGAUCGGACCUGAAACGGGCUGUCCACGGCGAGCUCGAUUCACGGCGGCGGAAAAUGGAUUUGGGGGAAACGAGAAAUUCAAGUGCGCGGGUGGAUGAUUGUGGCCGAUUAGCGGUGGUUGGAUGCGUAAGGAUGUGGUGAAGCUCACGGCGGGGUCAAUUUAUAGAGCUCCGAAGCGGUGGCACUUAAUUUGAUCGCGAUGCGUCGACGGCCGGAGAGGAGGAAGAAGCACUGGCUUCGCGGGUACGUGGCCAACGACGUGGCAGUAACUCCGGUGAGCCACGGAGGGUUCAGAGAAGGUCAUGGCGACACGGUUAAAGUGUAGAGCCACGCGGCACCCGGCCGAGAGGCGGCGGUCGACGGCGAGUACUUACCGCCAGCCGCAAAGUCGAAGGAAGACAGGGGGGGUUCGUCGGAGUGGUGGCCAGCUCACUGGUGACGAGGACCUUACCGCGACAGACUUAUCUAGUGACCGCCGAGCACGAAUCACAGCGACGACGAUCGACGGCGACGGCUACCGGCGACGGGCACGGGAAAGAUCUUCUUCAGGUUUAACGGUUACUGUACCAUGGCCAUAGUUCAUCAGUGCACCUGACCGAGCGAGUUGAGAGCCAUUUUUCUCCAGAUUUCAUGUGACGACAGGUCCAAGUCUCUGCACCAAAGUUGUAGUGCUACAUACCAGCUACAACUCAACUAUAGGACUUGAUCACAUUUGAGCACUGGAUCCAAAUCAAAAUCAAGCUCAAAGUUCACCCCAUAGCACUGCAACUCUGAAAUUCAGCUCCAAACAGUCUGACAGCCAGUUUUGGACUGGGUUUUUCUCCAAAUUCUUCAUAACAACUAUGCUUACAACCUUAAGCAAAGUUGUUCUCCUAUAAUUGGUCUUCAACUUUGAUGUGGUGACCUAGGGCAAAAACCCUAUGCUUUGUAAGUUACAAAGCCCUAAAGUGGAGCCUUUAACACUGAAUUUCAGACUUAGUGUAGAACUCAAAUGAGGUCCAUUUUGCACUUAAGUCCAAAUCUCAGGGUUUGGCUUGUAAAUUCACAUAUUUGUGAACCAAUUGGCUUUAGAUGCUUAAACAUAGUAGUUUUUACAUUUUAGUCCAAAGGUUCAUCACUUUUGCACAUAAGCCCCUAGGGUUUGGUUUAGGGUUUUCCAGGGUUCCAAUUAGGGUUUCUGGCAUCCCAGGGGUAUAAAUGUGAUUCAAGUUUAUUUUUGGGGUCAUUUUAUGGCUUUUACCCUAAAAUCUUUAGGUUUUCUUAACUUGGGUUAAAUUCUACCCCUUUAACCACUAUUUAGGGUUAAGUCCAUUAAACAGGGUUUCAUUUGCAAAAACAUUAAAGCAACACAACUUGUUUGAAAUUUUUGCCUAGUGAAUGCACUCUAGGUGUGUCAAACAUAUGCAAUGCUAAUGCUUAUGAUGUCAUGCUCAAGUUUUAGUUAUAGUAACACCAGGGGUGUUACAUCUGGUCAACUGGCCGCUCUCAGGAAUUCGCCGGCGGCGUACGGCUAAAAUUCACCGGACUGUCCGGUGGUGCACCGGACAGUCCGGUGAGCCAACGGUCGGCCUCGCAAUCCGCGCGUGACGCGUGGCCGAGCCAACGGUCUGAUGGGGGCACCGAACUAUCUGGUGUGCACCGGACAGUGUCCGGUGCGCCAACGGCUCCAAAUCUUCAACGGUCCGUUGCGCCAAAUUAGGAAAGCAAUCUGCACCGGACAGUGAAUAGUUCCUGUCCGGUGCGCCACCCGACAGAAGGCAAGAAUUGCCUUCCUGGAUUGCUCUCAACGACUCCUAGCUUCCUUAGGGCUAUAAAAGGGACCCCUAGGCGCAUGGAGGAGAAAACCAAGCAUUCUCUGAUCAUCUCUAAGCACCAAGACUUCAUUCUAGCGCAUUUGAUUCUUUGUGAUAGCGAUUUGAGCUCCUCUUGAGUUAAGAACUCCGUGUGUGAACUUAGAGCUCAAGUUGCGACUAGUGUGCGUGUUUGUGCUGUUGCUUGUGAGACUUGUGUGUGUUGCUUUUCCCUUCCUUACAUCCUUGCUUCUUUGAGAUCAUCAUUUGUAAGGGCGAGAGGCUCCAAGUUGUGGAGAUUCCUCGCAAACGGGAUAUAGUGAAAGAAAGAAAAACACUGUGAUAUUCAAGUGGAUCCUUGGAUCACUUGAAAGGGGUUGAGUGCAACCCUCGUCCAUUGGGACGCCACAACGUGGAGGAGGCAAGUGUUGUACUUGGCAGAACCACGGGAUAAAUCAUCGAGUCUUUUGUGCUUGUUCUCACUGUGACUAUUGUGUUUCGCAAGAGCUCGGUCCUUAGCCACUUGAUUUCAUUGUGCUAACACUUAAUCAAGUUUUGUGGCUUUAAGUUUUAAGUUUUUACAGGAUCACCUAUUCACCCCCCCUCUAGGUGCUAUCACAGACCCCUAUAAUCUUGCAGAUUUAGCCCUGGACUUUUAAAUAUUCACAGAAUUAGCCCUAAUUUCAUAUUUUGAAUUCCCAAACUUGUUUAUUUUAUAACUUUUCCAUAUGAACUCCAAAUUUAGUGAUUCAAAUUGCAAAAUGUUCAUAGAAUUAUUCUCUGUUUAAAUAAAAUGGUUUCACUUACUGUCUGCACACACUAAUUUUUAGGAUUGAAUAUGAACUAAUGUAGAUGUAUUUUUAUUUAUUUAAUAAAAUAAAUAAAAGGAGAACCUUAGAGAUUUAAACAUGUGUAAGCUUGUGGGAUUAAUAAUGUGUAUUACAUGAGUUUAUCUCUGUUCUAAAUUUUAGGUCACAAUAAAAUAAGUUGACCUAUGUUUAUGUACUUGCAAGUAACACUUAGGGAAAUAAUAAUCUAUUUUCAAAUAAAGUUAAAGUAUGUUAUAGUUUAUGUUAUACUUUGAAUUCAUUAUCCCUUAUGUAGUAUUAUGUCUUUUAAGAUGUGUUCCAAUGUUUGUACAUGUUUGGUGUGAUGUUCAUUUGUACUUUCCAAAUGUAUUGAAUGCAUGCUCGCUUUAUCUAAACAACGAGCAGUCCGAGGUUCUUGAGUGCAUUGUUGGAGACCUCCCUGAGCAACCACCUAGUGAAGGCAAGUGUCCUCUGACCCAUUAUGUCCUACAUACUUUAUGAUUCACUGUCCCGUAUUACUUUAUGAAACCUAAGGAUUGACUAGUCUGUAUUCACUUAUCCUUGUUUACCUUUUUGGGUUAUCAUGGUUAGCAUGUUGCUAUUGCCUUAACUUAAUCAAUGAACAUGAUGUGAAUAUUUAUGAUACGAUACUGUUAUCCUAAUUAUGUGGAUGAUCUUGUGAUACCUUAGGGGGCCCAGGCCUUUUUCCUGAGUACCUCUCCGUAAGGACCUGUUCGUGGAGUGACCAUCCAGGAUACAGUACAACCAUGAGGGUGGAAUGGGACGCCCUUAGCUGAUUAAUUAGAUGAACCUAGGGGUGUAGUUAGCUUUGCCGGAGGGCCGUAAAUGGGAGCCGGGGCGUAGUGCUCGCUCUGCCAAGGUUGGGGUGCAGAGGUUCUUUCGAUUUGGUUUUGUUAGUCACUCACCUUGGGGAGGUGUACUGCGUUUGUACGACUGGCGAAACCUAACGAGCAGCUAUGCACUAGGGGAGUCUUUGUAAAGGCUACGUAGUGUAUCCCUGGCCAUUCACCUUGGUAGUGAAGAUCGGGUCUGUACAACCCAGGCUGGAAAGGGAUCAUGACUUGUGGGUAAAGUGUACAACCUCUGCAGAGAGUUAAAAACUAGUAUAUCAGCCGAGCUCACGGUUAAGAGCAGCCUUGGUAUCCUCUUUGAUUAGAAUAACUUUGGAUACUAUUAUGUUGAUGAUUAAUAAUGUUGUUAUAAAAUCUGAUCUCUAGUAUUUCCUCUUUUGAGGAGGUACUUCUGGGUAAUAACUGAGUUUAUUAUUAAAACCUGGCUCUACUAAUGUCGGUGUUUUGGGUCCGACCGCACACCCGGGGUUGCCCCUCAAGGUGUUUUUAGGAGUAGGACGGUGUCGCCGACUGUAGCUAAAUGGUUCGUGCCGGAUGCACGAAGAACAAUAGACAGUGUUUACAGGUUCGGGCCGCUUUGAGAUGCGUAACACCCUACGUCCUGGUGAGAAUGCUUUAUGUGGUGGAUUACAAGGGAGCUCUCUAACGCUAGAGCGUAGAGAGUUUGGGUGGAUGGCCGAGUAGUGAGAUAGAUCGUUCUGAAGGGGUACCCUCUAGGCCUUAUAUAUUCGACCGUGAGGCAAUACAUGCGGAUAUGAUAACAAUGCGCACCUAAGAGAUAGUGAACUGAUUGAGUCUAUCUUCCUAUAGUUCUGCCGACUCAUCCUCGCUUGGUUCCGUUGUACGGGGCUCCAGCGCGGGAAAGUCGGGUCUCUGCUGUGGUUACUUGCUCGUCGUUGUUGGGCCGUCUGGGCUCGCACCGAUCCGGCCUUGUGUCGAUCUGCUUCACUGGUCGUUUCUUCCCCAGGCCCACGAAGGGAUGACCUUACGAAUUAUUGGGCCCUCGGGCCUUUCGUGAGGUCUUUUAUCCUUCCAGUGGACCCGGGGGAUAUCUAUCCCCCACAAGCCCCCGAUCCUUGGGUUGAUUUUGGAAUAAUCGGCCCAAAGAUCCUAGGUCCAGCUUGCGGUUUUUGUUUAUGAUAGGAAAUGCUUCCCGGGUAGUCUGGUAAAAACGAUUUCUUACUGUCUCCUUCUGCUUUUAUCACUCGAAAACUGGUGUUCUGCCUCAAACUCGCGCUUUGGAGGUCAGCAUUUCAUACUGUAGGACCUUGAACUUCGUUGGGUGCACCGGAGGUGCACCCAAUGGGUGUAGCCCCCGAGCUUCGAGUGGAUUUUUGAAAAUAAUCCGCUCGAAGGUCUUCACUUCGAGUAUUAUCAGAAAUCCUUUUUAUUUUCCGUUUGCAAUUUGUUGGAGAUCGGCCUUGCUUCUGAUCUUGCCGUAUGCUUUAGAAGUUAGCAUUAUCUUGACUUGAAAUGACGAUUCAUUGGGUGUAGCCCCCGAGCUUCGAGUGGAUUUUUUAAAAUAAUCCACUCGAAGGUCUUUAUUUCGUGCCCUUUUGCUGAGAAUUAUCCUCUCUUUUUCCGAAUGUCUUAGAGGUCAGCAUUAUGUCAUUGAUAUUAUGCUUUAGAGGUCAGCAUGUAUUUUGUCUUUGAGGCCGAGUUAAUGAUCUGCCCAUAUCUUGCUAGGUGGUGCAAUUUAUUUGAUCUGCGACUGAUUGGACGUUCGAUGGACGUCCCCUGGAUAGUCUUCAUGUCGCUUCUGCCAAUCAGGCUUGUACUUCACCGGCUAUAUUUGGCUUUCCUUUGAUCCUUGCUGAUAUCUCACUUUUGUCUUGAGGUAUUCAUUGCAUGCGCUGCACGGAUGUGACAGUUUUGAAAAAUAUACUGAUAAUUCCUGGGCGUCCCCCCCCAAUGGGUGUGGGUAGGGAUGUAAUCGGAUCGAAUACGGACGGAUAUCACUGAAACCAUAUUUGUUUUCAUAUUUUUAUUCGGAUUCGAAUUCGAAUACGGAUAGCUUCGGAUGCGAAUACGAAUACGGAUAUUCUCGGAUAUAGAUACAGAUAGUUGUGUGUCGAAUACGGAACUAGUCGGACACGGAUAUUGUCGGUAACGAAUUUUUUGUCGGAUAUCAUGUAAUACAUCAUUCCACACAUAUCAUGGUUCUAAUCAUGUAUCCACUCCUUGAGUCCAAACAUUUUAUAGUAUUAUAUGUGUACAUAUGUCAUGUUUUUUGUAAAAAAUCAUGAAUUUUAAGCCUAUAUGCGUGUUAUUAAUUUAUUUUCAAUAAAAUCAUCAAACGCAAAUAAGUUACCAAAACUAAUAAACAUUCUAUAAAAAUAUAACCUGAAGUCUCCACAUGAAAAUGAUAAAGUGAACUUGGAUACUUAGAGUGAUUUCACGUGUAAUUCACACAAGUGAAAUUGAAAUGAAAGAAACACUAUCAUAUUGUAGAUUUUAUGGUCCAAAUAUUUUGGAGGAUUGUAUGUGGACAUAUGGUAUGCCUCCAUAAAUUUUCAUGAAUUUCUGAGGCUAUUUGUGUAUUAUUAAUUUCUUUCUACAAAAAAUAAAAAAAUACACACAACUAUCCAGAUAAGAUAUCCGGAUAUCCGAGAAGAUUUAUCCGAAAAAAUAUCCGGAUAUUCGAUAUCCGACGGAUAUCAGACAUAUUGUAUUCGAAUUCGAUAUCCGAACAAAAUAUCCGUAUUCGUAUCUGUUAUCCGAAAAAAGUCCGGAUAUCCGAAAAUUCUAUCUGAACCAGUGUUCAUCAUCUUCGAAUCCGGAUCCGGACGGAUAUUUUCCGAACCAUAUUACAUCCCUAGGUGUGGGCAAGGGACGGCUUGGUACGCUUAGUGUUUGGCGAACUGCUUCUGAGUAGUAAUUUGAUGUGACCGCGCGGUUGACUGGAGUCCCAAUGGGUGUUGUGUUGCGUGAGGCGGCGUCAGCCGCCUGACGUGUCUUCAGACGGUUUAAAUUGCAUAUUGAAUUUUUGUGACUGUUCAGUGGCCGUGGUAGGAGAUGGACGGUUGCCUUCUUCUUCUAUAAAUAGUGUUCUUGCUUCCCCGGUAUUUUCACAUCUCUUACUGCUCUCUGCUGCUUGCUUUCUUCUUCUCCCUUCAUUUCCACCAUGGGCAAGAGUAACAAACGCAAGCGCGAGCCGACUCCUCCAUCAGAGGACUUCGGCGACUCGGAAUACUCGAAGGAGGAGUUCUCCUCCGAGUCCGAGGGGUCUCCGGCUCCCGUCUCUCCCCCGACGUCGUAUGAUGAUUCAGACGACUCCCAGGGGAUUGCCGCGGAGGUCUGGACUUAUAUCCGGGCCGUCGAGCGCUCCGGGCUUGAGGGCUCGGAUGAGUCGGAGUACUUCUCGGACGAGGAGGACUCUUCGGACUCGUUCGAGGAGGGCGGCGACGGUGAUGGCGGAGACGACGACGACGACGGAGGCGACGGUGACGACGGCGACGAUAGCGGCGGUGGAGGUGACGGCGGCAGCAAGGGCGGCAACGACGGCAGCAGCAGGGGCAGCAACGGCGGCGGCAGCAGCAAGGGCAGCAACAAGGCCAGUGGCUAGAUGCCACUGGUCUUUAGAUGUUAGUAUAGAUUAGAAGUAGUAUAAUGAAAUAAUGUAGUAGUAGUUAGUAGUGUAGAGUAGUGUAGUGUAGUGCAGUAGUAGUAGUAGUAGGGGCAUCAUCAACUCAUAACGAGUUGAUUUGUAAGUUCUGUAGCUUCCCUUAAUGAAGAAUGAUUUCGUCUCCUCCUACGUUGGUUAUUUUGCCUCAUGGUCAGUUGAUGAUUGUCGCGAUAUUUUUUGUCUGUAAUGCUCUCUGUCUGUUAUGCUUGUGUCGUAACUUGGAGUUUUCAAAUCAUUCCUCCGUUUGCCUUAUCUGUGAAGUCAAUUCCUCUGGAAUAGUAGCUGAGUAACUCGGGCAUCAUAUCGUCACUUUUAGGGGUGAUGGUCGAGUUAUUAUUGUCAACAUUUAUGAUUCUGAAGUAGCGUCCAAAUGAUGACGAAGCCAUAUCAGCGUUUUAGAAUUAACGUUUGAGUGACUGAUGACCACGUCAGCGUUUUUAGAGGUAACAGCCGAAUGACUGAUGACGACGUCGGCGUUUUAGAGAUAACUACCGAGUGACUGAUGACGACGUCGGCGUUUUAGAGAUAACUGCCGAGUGACUGAUGACCACAUCGGCGUUUUUAGAGGUAACAGCCGAGUGACUGAUGACGACGUCGGCGUUUUUAGAAGUAACAGCCGAGUGACUGAUGACGACGUCGGCGUUUUAGAAAUAACAGCCGAGUUAGAACGGGCUGCGUCGGCCACUUUGAAGAUAAUGGCCGAGUGAUGAUGUGGCACACCGGUGUUUUAGAAGUAACCGCCGGGUGAUGACAUGGCACGCCGGUGUUUUAGAAGUAACCGUCGGGUGAUGACUGGGCGCUUUGUGGAAACAGUAUCCGCCCCGGGAAAGCCCCAUAUGUACUGCGCCUUCGGCUGCCUCUGCUUUCUGUGCCCUAGUUCUUGCUUUCCUGCCUUCAGACCCUCUCUGCCCUUUUGCAAUUCGGCUCCCUCUCUGCUCGCCGGUGGAGUUGAGAUGGCGCCCAAGCGGAAGGCCUCGAGUUCGUCCGCUGCUGUGAUUCCCCCUAUCGACCCCAACAGCUAGUUGCCUUUCGUAGGUAACCAUAUGUCUGUUGUUUCUGAGCCUGACCUUCUCCAUCUCGUGUCCAUCGGGGUCCUUCCUCCGAAGGAGCUCUGCUCUUGGCGGAUUUGCCACGGGGUCACUGUUCCAACAGAGGAUACCCACGAAUCCGUGAUUUAUGUUCCUUUUCUUCUCCGCGGUCUCGCUCUUCCUAUUUCUCCCUUUUUCCGCGGUCUCCUUGAUUUCUAUCGCCUUAAUUUGACCCAUCUGAAUCCCAAUUCCAUUCUGCAAAUUUCCAUUUAUGUUCAUUUAUGCGAGGCUUUUCUUGGCGUCCUGCCACAUUUUGGACUGUGGAAGUACUUGUAUCAUUGUCGCCCUGGGAUGGCCGGGGGGCAGCAUCAGCUGGUGGGGGGUGCGAGUUUGGAGAUGCGCCAUGGGAGGAAAACUGACUACCUUGAAAUCCCACUCAAGGAUAGUAUCAAAGGAUGGCGCUUGGAGUGGUUUAUUGUUGAAAACCACGGAAAAUCUCUCCCCCCGCGGUCAGGGAGACAGCCGGAUGUUCAUACCCCGAGUUGGACCGAGUCCCCCACAGACCAGGAGGUGGCUGAGGCAGGGGCUUUGCUGACUGAAGUUGGACUGUUGAAGGAGAGGGGUCUGACUGCAGAGGCUGUGGUUGCUGAUUUGGUCUUCAAGAACAUUCAGCCUUUGAAGGAUAGGGCAUACCCGGCCUAUCUGUACUGAGGUCUAGCUGACUCAACCCGGGUCACCAACAGAAGAAUUCCUGCUGUAGACUUGGUGAACCAGCUUGAAAUGAUACUUAGAGGCAAGGUAUCAAAUGUUGGCGCCCCUGUCGCAUACUCGGCCUGGAACCUGCCUCCUUUCAAGGCCUUUACGCAUUUUGUGUCGAAUCCUCCUGCUGCUGAUGGCGGUUUGGGCCUUAGAGUGCGACCCUCUACCGAAGAAGUUAGUGCUUUGGUUGCUUUGCUUGGAGAAAUUCCUGAUGAUGAACGGCAGGUUCACUUUGAGGUGCCUUUGGAUCCUAGUGAUGCAGAGAUAAGUGCAAUGCUUGAUAUGCUGGCCGAGGACUCUUCUGAUGCCGCUCCUGCUGGGACAUUGGUGGUGGCGCCUCUCCUGGAAGCUGGUAAAACCUUGGAUAUUCAGAGGCCUGUCAGUGUUCGCCCAAAGCGCCCUUGCCGAGCCAAUCAGCUUGAUUCUCCUGCUGAUGAGCAGAAAAAGAAAAAGAGACGUCUUCGGCGAGUAUCUAGCUUGGAUCGGGAUGCUGGUCCUUCGGUUCCUGCUGUUGAGGAAGUGCCUGUGCCUGAAUUUACCGACGCUGACCCCAAUGGGUGUGAUUCAUCUGUCGCAGAUCCCAAUACGUGUAAUCCGUCUGUCGCUGAUCCCAAUGGGUGUGAUCCAUCUGUCGUUGAUCCCAAUGGGUGUGCUAUCUGUGUUGCUGAUGAAAACGAGGGGAGGAAGAAGAUGAGGUCCCUUUGACUCGGAAGAACAGUCGGCAAUAUGUAGCCAGUGGGGAAAGUAGUGGAGUUCGUUCUCCUGCUCUGUCUGCCCUCAUUGGUCUACAAGAAUUGUCUCUGGCGAACUUUGAUCAUACUCUUGAAGAUAUGGUUCCAGAGGAUCUGUUAUCAGAGCCGGCGGAUGGUGACGUGAUGGAUGUUUGUGCUGAUGUGUUCGACGCCGGGUUGGGGUCAUCCUGGGCAGCGUCCCGCGCCUCAUCGACCUUGGAGCGCGGUCUUGAGGGUCAGGAAACUGACUUGGAUCAUCCUGCUCCCAUGGAAGUAUCUGAGGGACCUUCAGCCUUAGAGGUGGCUGUCGCAGAGAACUCAGCCCUCAAGGAUGGUGUUGUCGCUCACCCAGCCCCCGAGGGUGUUGCCGGGGAUGAUUCGGCUUGGGUGGGUAGCGCAAGCUGCAACCCAGCCCCCGAGGGUGUUGCCGGAGACGAUCCAACUCGAAUGGGUAGCGCAAACUAUGACCCAGCCCCCGAGGGUGUCCGAGCGGGGUCUCCCUCUGGUACUUCAAUGGAUGUUCACGUGGGGUCUCCUUCACAUUCUGGUUGCAUGGUGGUAGCCCAAGCCUUUGGUCAAGGAGCCGCUUUAGAGGCUAGCGUUCAUGACGACGAAGUUUUGGGCUCUGCUGAUGACACUGAGUUGGUCCCUGCUGGUUCAUUGCAAGUUGCUACGGGUGGUGAUCCUUCGCCGAGCCAUCAAUUGAUUUCUCACGAUUUGGGGGUCCCCUCAUUCUUCUCCAGUCUCCAGGUACUAUGGUCUAUUCUAGUCUGACUUUUACACCGGAUGAACUGCUGUCAUUACAUUCAUCUGCUCUCAAUAUCAGGCAUUGGUGGACGGGAUGGCUAGUCAGCUGAAGUUGCAGGGUGCUUCUGUUCCAGAAGGAGCUUCGUCUCUAGCACGUUGGAAUCCGGUGCUGCUUCAAUAGCGUGUUUCUAACUUAGAGGCUGCGAAUGCUGGUUAACGUUUUUCUGCUUCCCUUCGUCUCCCUUAUUAAACUGCUUCUUAAUUUAACCCUUUUGCUUGAUUGUUUCUCGCUAGAUAUGGCUCGGCAGUUUUCUGUUCUUGAAGAGAAACAUUCUCAGAGUCAGGCUAAACUGGUCCGGUGGUGCUCUAAUUUUGAGGAAAAGUAUUCCCAAAGCCAGACUGAGUUGGCCCAGGUUUCUGCUGCUCUGAAUGACGCUAACACGCUGAACUCUACUCUUCGCGCUCAGCUUGAUUAUGAAAAGGUGACUUAUGAAUCGGUGCCUUGUUUUGCCGUGUUCUUAUUGCUUGCUUGAUGUCUGAAGAAGCUGACUCUUGUUUGCAGGAAGAAAAACGUGCCCUUGUUGCUUCUCGUGACAAUCUUGACAGGCUAUAUCGUGACUCUAGCAACUCGUUGACCAUUUUGGAGAGGAGUCAUCGCUUCACCAUGGAGGAGCUAGACAAUCAGCGUUGUAAGCUGCAGGAAUCCACGGAUGACGUGAUCCGCCUCAGGCAGUUGAUAUCGGCUAAAGAUGCUGUUAUCAAGGAACUACGUGCUUCCAAGAAAUCCAUCGCCCAGGAGCUAGAGACCGCUCAGUUGGCUGUCAAAGUUGCUGAAGAAACUUCCGUUACUCUGAGGGCCCAGCGCGACAAAGCCAUGGAUAAAGCCAUUCGCGAGGGGCGGAUCUUGAUGAGGAGACCCGGUGUGAUUGUUCCUGACGAUAUAAGGGCUGAUGUGAACGCUGCUCCUGAUUCCUCAAGUCGCCCUUCUUCAUCAGUUGCUCCUGAGAAGAAUGUUGCAAAAUAGAAAAACAUUGCGUGCUUUGAGCGCGCGGUUAUCGUGCUCCGAUAUUUUGUUAGAGGACACCAGCUUGACAUUUGAAUGCUACUGUUAUUCUCCCAUCGUUUUAGAAUUCGGCAGUAUCUAAAUUUGCAGAAGUAAAAUGUUGUAUGCUGAUUUUGAAACUUGUUCACGGGACAUAGAGGUCGCCCCUAUAUGAGUAAUCGUAAGCACGUGGAACCGUCUUAAGUCGUUGCUGACUCAAACCGAUUACUUUUGUUAAUAGGGCAUAGUAGUAACCCGAGUUAAGUAAGAGCGAGCAUGUUGCACCGUCUUAAGUCGUUGCCGACUUAAGCCGAUUGCUCUAUUAGCCGGGCAUAGUGGUCACCCUGAGUUAAGUAAGCGCGAGCAUGUUGCACCGUCUUAAGUCAUUGCCGACUUAAGCCGAUUGCUCCGUUGGUAGGGCAUAGUGGUCACCCCAAGUUAAGUAAGCGUGAGCAUGUUGCACCGUCUUAAGUCGUUGCCGACUUAAGCCGAUUGCUCCGUUAGCAGGGCAUAGUGGUCACCCCGAGUUAAGUAAGCACGGGCAUGUUGCACCGUCUUAAGUCGUUGCCGACUUAAGCUGAUUGCUCCGUUAGCAGGGCAUAGUGGUCACCCCGAGUUAAGUAAGCGUGAGCAUGUUGCACCGUCUUAAGUCGUCGCCGACUUAAGUCGAUUGCUCCGUUAGCAGGGCAUAGUGGUCACCCCGAGUUAAGUAAGCGCGAGCAUGUUGCACCGUCUUAAGUCGUUUCCGACUUAAGCCGAUUGCUCCGUUAGCAGGGCAUAGUGGUCACCCCGAGUUAAGUAAGCGUGAGCAUGUUGCACCGUCUUAAGUCAUUGCCAACUUAAGUCGAUUGCUCCGUUAGCAGGGCAUAGUGGUCACCCCGAGUUAAGUAAGAGUGUAGGUCGAUCAUGAACAAACUGAGUAUUCUUGAAGCCUUUUUUAUUGAUGACAUAUUUCCCAUUUUACAGAGUACAUUGUCGUCCCGAUAGCUUUUGAAAUACAGCUAGGGAUAAAACUUCCUGAGGUGUUAUAUAUUCCAUGAGUUCCCAAUUUAUGUGUCGUCCAUCUGAGUGAGACGAUAUGAUCCCGGCCGAGUGACUUCUGCUACUAUGAAUGGUCCUUCCCAUAAGGGUGACAACUUGUGCCGUCCCUCCCCCGUUAGAAUUCGGCGGAGGAUGAGAUCUCCCACUGCAAAGGAUCAUCGUCGCACGGACUUGUCGUGAUAGCGUCUCAGAGUUUGCUGGUAUCGUGCUGAUUGAAUUACUGUGUUCAGCCGUUCUUCUUCGAGUACAUCAAUAUCCUCUAGCCUAGUAGCUUCGGCUUCUGCUAUGCUUUCAAAGACCAACCUUGGCGCCCCAAACUUGAGAUCAGCGGGUAAUACUGCCUCUGACCCAUAGACCAUGAAGAAAGGAGUAUUUCCAUGCAGAGCUCGACUAGGUUGAGUUCUUAUACUCCAAACGACGUAGGGCAACUCCCUUAUCCAUUUUCCUGCGAACUUUUCAUUUUUAUCGAAGACCUUUUUCCUGUGUGCCUCUAAUAUCAUCCUGUUAGCUCGUUCAACCUGCCCGUUGGCUCUUAGGUGUGCCACCGAAGCAUACUUGAUCUGAAUGCUCUUUUGCUCGUAGAAAUCGAAGAACUCUGAACUUGUGAAGUUGGAUCCUAGGUCAGUUAUGAUACUGUUCGGUAUUCCGAAUCUGAAUAUUAUGUCUUGUAUGAAUUCCACGGCCUUAGCUGAGGUUAAAGAGGCAAUGGAUUUGAACUCUAUCCAUUUAGUGAAUUUGUCGAUUGCUACCAGUACAUGAGUGUAUCCUCCUUGAGCUUUCUUGAAAGGUCCAAUCAUAUCCAGUCCCCAGCAUGCGAACGGCCAAGUUACUGGUAUGGUCUGCAGUUGCUGUGCUGGUAGAUGUUGUUGCUUUGACAAGUACUGGCAAGCUUCGCACCUCUGAACUAACUCGGCUGUAUCACUUUUUGCCGUUGGCCAAUAGAAUCCCGACCUGAAGACCUUCCCGACUAGUGUCUUGGAUGCUGCGUGUAUUCCACAUUGCCCAGCAUGGACCUCAUCUAGAAGUUGCUUCCCAGUAGAUGAGAGAAUGCAUUUCAUGAGGACGCCCGAUGCACCCCUUCUGUAUAGUGUCUCCCCAAUGAGUGUGUAGUGAGCUGACUGUCUAGCGAUGCGCUUGGCUGCAUUUUUGUCAUCUGGUUCCUAUUCAUUCUUUAUAUAUCUGAUGAUCGGCCUUCUCCAGUCAUCAGAAUCUGACUCUGGUUGGUUCACGAUAUUACAUUCUUCUGCCUGGUCCAUUGAGAUGCUUAGAUGUGGUAUUUCUUGCACGAAGACUCCAGGUGGGACCUGAGUUCGACUGGAUCCUUGCUUGGACAAUACAUCAGCUGUCGUGUUUCGAUCUCUUUCUACAUGGUGAAAUUCCAGACCUUCGAAUUUAUCUUCUAGUUCCGGACGGCGGUGCAGUACUUUCCCAUUGAAUCGCUCGAACAGUCCCAUUCUUUGUUUAUCUGGCUUAUGACUACCAAAGAACCUCCGUAUACCAUCAGUCUCUUGAUGCCUAGUGAUGUAGCAAUGUUCAGUCCAUGAAUCAGAGCUUCAUAUUCGGCUGCGUUGUUGGAGGCUGGAAAUAACAACUGGAGGGCAUAUUUGAGGUGCUCGCCUCUAGGUGCGGUAAAGAGAAUUCUCGCGCCUGCUCCCUGCAGUUUCAACGAGCCAUCAAAAUACAUUCACCAUACUUCUGUGGUUUCUGGGUUAUCUGGUACUUGUUGUUCAGUCCAUUCUGAUACGAAGUCAACCAAUGCUUGAGUUUUGAUGGCAGUGCGAGGUCGAAAUUCGAUGUCAUGAGAUCCCAGUUCACAGGCCCACUUGGCUAUUCGGCCAAUGGCUUCCUUGUUGUGAAGAAUAUCCCCUUUCGGAAAACCAGUGACUACUAUGACUUUGUGGUCGUCAAAGUAGUGACGUAGCUUGCAGGCAGUUAGAAGUACUGCAUAUAAUAUCUUCUGAACUUGAGGAUACUUUUUCUUCGAGGGACCCAAAACUUCACUAAUGAAAUAAACAUGAUGUUGCACUGGGUAGGCAUGUCCUUCUUCUGCUCGCUCGACUACCAACACAGUGCUUACCACGUGAGUCGUGCAAGAGAUAUACAACAGCAAAUCUUCAGCUGGUUGAGUUGACGUGGCUCGCCGUGGCGGCUUCAGCACUGGUGGUGUUGUCAAGAAUUUUUUCAGUGCAUCUAGGGCUUCCUGUGCUUCUGAAGUCCACUGAAACUUAUCCACCUUCUUGAGUAGCUUAUAGAACGGUAAGCCUUUUUCUCCCAGUCUGGAUAUGAAUCUGCUCAGGGCUGCCAUACAUCCGGUAAGUCUCUGAACUUUCUUUUGUGAAUGUGGUGCCUCCAUUUUCAUGAUAGAUUCGAUCUUAUCCGGAUUAGCUUCAAUUCCCCGGUGGCUGACAAUAAAUCCGAGUAGCUUUCCUGCCGGUACCCCAAAGACACAUUUUUCGGGAUUAAGCUUCCAUCGAUAUCGCCGUAGACUGUUGAAAACCAGCUGUAAACCUUCGAUGAAAUUUUCUGAGUUCUCCGUUUUGAUUACCACAUCAUCUACAUAGGCUUCCACACGCUUGCCCCAGUGAUCGGCUAAGCAUGUUUGAAUGGCUCUCUGAUAAGUCGCUCCAGCGUUUUUGAGGCCGAACGGCAUGGAGGUAUAGCAGAAAGCACCGAACGGAGUGAUGAACGCUGUUUUUUCCUCGUCUUCUUUUGCCAAAAUAAUCUGAUGAUAUCCGGAGUAGCAAUCCAGGAAAGACAGCACAGAACAUCCAGCGGUGGAAUCUACCACCUGAUCUAUCCUAGGAAGCCCGAAGGGAUCCUUUGGACAGUGUUUGUUGAGAUCCGUAUAGUCGACGCACAUGCGCCAAUCCACUUUAUUCUUUUUGAGUACAAGAACAGGGUUGGCUAACCACUCGGGAUGUAACACCUCUCUAAUAAACCCAGCCGCGACCAAGCGGGCCAGCUCAGCGCGAAUGGCCUCUCUCUUGUCAGGCGUGAAGCGACGUAGUUUUUGCCGAAUCGGCCUCGCCUGGGGAUAGACCUUCAGUUUGUGCUCGGUCAGUUCUCUCGGGACUCCCGGCAUAUCCGCAGGUUGCCAUGCGAAUACGUAUCGGUUAUCCUGCAGAAACUGGACGAGCACGCCUUCCUAUUUGUCAUCCAGGCUGGAGCUGAUGAUGGCUGUUUUGCGCUCAUCAGCGAACCCAAGGUUGAUCCUUUUGGUUUCUUCAGUCGGCUGCAUAGAGAUCGCGACUUGAGCUUCAUUUGCAGGUGCUGCAAGGUCUUCCUCAGGCUUAGAGUUUUCCUGCGUCGAAGAAGUCACCGACGGUUUGGUGGUGAGGGCCGCCUGGAUGGCCACUCGGAAACAUUCUAUGGCGCCUUGGAAGUCAGCGCGCACAGUUAUGAUUCCUUGCGGCCCUGGAAUCUUCAAUAUCAUGUAUGUGUAAUGCGGAAUGGCCAUGAAUUUUGCCAAUCCCGGCCUCCCGGUGAUGGCGUUGUACCCGCAGCCGAAGUUCGCCACUUUGAACCUCAGGAACUCGGUUCUGUAGUUCUCCGGAGUUCCAAAGGUGACUGGCAUGUAGAUGUGGCCCAGUGGGUAUUCUCCUUCAGUCGGCACGAUGCCGAAGAAAGGAGUGUCUGACUCGUGGAGCUCUUUGAGGUGAACUCCCAAGCCUUGGAGUGUCCGAGGGAAGGUGACAUUGAUGCUGCUCCCCCCGUCCACUAAUACCUUCUUUACCAUGCUCUCUCGGAUCACCGGAUCGACGAGGAGCGGGUAUUUGCCUGGGUGGUCGAAGUUGAGCCAUUGAUCUGCCCGAGUGAAGGUGAUCAGGUGCUCCGACCAUCGGUACGGAGCGAGAGGACCGAUGGUCGCCACCAAUAUCUGGCGAUCGUUGAGCUUUUGUUGUCUUCUGUUCUCCUGCGAUCCGUGUCCGCCGAAGAUGACGUUGACCUCGCUGUCAACGCGCGGGAAGGCUCCACCUUCUCCCUCCUCCAGUUGCUGAGGUUGUUGCGGUUCUCCUGGUCCUCCCCGUGGCAGAGGAGGAGGUAGAGGUUGGAAGGGCCGGCCGUGUCCGACGGAGUGCUUGAAGUCUCUACAGUUCUGAAGGGUGUGGCGCAUGUCCUUGUGGUACGGGCACUGGGCGUCGAGGAUGUCGUCCAGCGUGCGUUCGCCCCCACGAGGUCCUCCCCGGGCGUGAGAGGCAGGUGGUUCGGCGGCGUGCACUUCUUCGCGAGGCCUCUUCUCCCAGCGUUUGUCGGGCUGCUGGUUUGUAUCGCGUCGCAGUGCUGCUGGUGCAGGCUUCGCUCCUCCGAUGAGGUCCUGAGCUCGCUCGUCGGCGGUGAUGUAGAGGUCGGCUUCCCAGAACAGUUGCUCGGAGGUAGUUGGCACCUUCUGUAAUAUGGCUCGGACGAAAGCCGAGUCGUUGGAUCCUCUGUAGAAGUCCUCGAUCAUGGCCGCCUCCGUGACCUCGGGGAUAUGAUUUCUCAUGGUCUGGAACCUUUUGAGGUAUGACCGAAGAGUCUCGUCCCCCCGGCGCUUGAUGGAUUUGAGGUCCCAUGGUUGCGCUGGUUUGUCAGAGAGGGAUUGAAAGUUGGCGGUGAAGCAUCGACUGAAAAGUCAUUCCAGUCGUCGAUGCAGUGCCGGGGUAGAUGUCGCAGCCAUUGUAGCGCGUCUUGCCCGAGAACAAUGGGUAAGUUGCGGUCAUCACGUCCUCGGAUGCCCCGAUAGCUCGAGCAGCGGUGGUGUACACGGCCAGCCAGCCUCCUGGAUCCUGCUUAGGUUCAUAUUUGUCGACAUUGGAUACCUUGAAGUUAGGGGGCCAUUGAAUAGCCUUAAGGCGCGGAGUAAGAGCAGACACUCCACACGUGUCUUCUUGUCGUCGGGGAUGAUGUCGGUCCCGGGGAGGGGAGUAGUUGUUGUGGUUCCUCGACCGUCCCCGGGUGGUACCGCCAGUCGAGGCCGUUGCUGAAUCAGUUCUAGUGGCCUAACUCCGAGCUGGAAUGCCAUGAUCCCUGUCGUAUUCCUCUCGGCGGUGGAUCUCGUUCUCAUGUCGUCGUUCACGCGAAGCAUUGAUGGAGCUUCGCGCGUCCCGGUGGCUGUUGAUGGCGUGUCGUAGGUCGUUCGGCGGGUGAGCGAGAGGUAGAAGAUGGUUGGCUGCUUGGGUGAACAGUCGUCGAUAGCCCUCGGCGUCGGGAGUCCGAGGGAGUCCAUCAGCUAUCCGAGCUAGUACCCCUCCGACUUCACUCGACGUGUUCAUGGCUCGGGCGAAGUCGGGGUUCAGGUUGCGCCCGAAGAGUGGAUUCUCUCGACGUUGCCUUGCCUCCUGCUCGGCCUGUUCCUGAGCUCGUCGGCGAUCACGUCGUCGGGAGUUCCUCCGUUCUCUGAAGAUGCGUUCCUCCGCAGUUUCUCCUAUCUCUGAGACCUCGUCUCAUGAGACAGGCUGCUCUGGGUCCCGCUCUCCGGCCUCGUGAUGUCGCCGGACAUUUCAGCGUCGGUUCCUCCGUUGGCGGGAUUCCCGCUGAGGAGGUUCUUCUCCGGGUGCGGUUAGCUCAUCGUCGGAGACGGGGGGCGACUCCACUCUCCCGAUGAAGAGGACGUCGGGGUAGAAUGGUGCGGCGGUCGUGGCGAUCUUCUUUCCGUUCUCCUUUGAGGACGGAGGAACGGAAAGAACAACUUGCUUCCUCCCGGUUUUAUUUGUUUCUUUCUUCCUUGCGAUUUGUGUCCAUUCUUUCGUCGGGGAAGUAGACAGUGGGGUUCUCCGGGUCAUCGCGCCCUCGGCCCCUGGCUUGCUGAAGGCGAUCUUUUUUCGGAGCGCUGGAGGUUGCGCUUUUCCCUGCCUUACUCCGACAUUUUCGGAGGUUGUUGGAGGAGACUUCUUCCUUGGCGGAUCUGCGAUGCGAUGUAGAGUUCCUUCUUCAUCUGCUACGGAUGAGAUAGUUCCAAAGCAGAACACAGAUCCAGGGCAGAGGGUGAUCUUGCGGUGGAAGGUGAUGGCCAUUGAGCUAGCUUAGAUCGGCGACACACCCCCUACCUGGCGCACCAGCUGUCGGUGUUUUGGGUCCGACCGCACACCAGUGGACCCGGGGGAUAUCUAUCCCCCACAACUAAUAAUAAUAAAUACUUGACCAACUAAAAGCAACUGCUUAACCUCAACUCCAUAUACAUCUUGUCGGGGACCAUAAUUAGGGGUACCCUCAAGGCUCCUAAAUCUCAGCUGGUAACCCCCAUCAGCACAAAGCUGCAAAGGCCUGAUGGGUGCGACUAAGCCAAGGAUCGGUCCAUUCGAGGGACGCGAUCACGCCUCGCCCGAGCCCAGCCUCGGGCAAGGGCAGCCGACCCCGGAGGAUCUACGUCUCUCCUGAGGCCCCCUCCAGCAACGGACAUACUUUCGGCUCGCCCGAGGCCCAGCCUUCACCAAGAAGCAACCUUGGCCAAAUCGCCACGCCAACCGACCAAAUCGCAGGGGCAUUUAAUGCAAAGGUGGCCUGACACCUUUAUCCUGACACGCACCCUCCAGUCGACAGAGCCGAAGUGACCGCAGUCACUUCGCCGCUCCACUGACCGGUCUGACAAGAGGACAGCGCCGCCUGUGCCGCUCCGACUGCUGUGCCACUCGACAGAGUGAGGCUGACAAGCAGCCAGGCCUGGCCUCAGGCGCCAUAGGAAACUCCGCUUCGCCCAACCCCAGGGCUCGGACUCGGGCUCAGCCCCUGAAGACGACGGACUUCGCUUCGCCCGACCCCAGGGCUCGGACUCGGGCUCAGCCCCAGAAGACGACAAACUCCGCUCUGCCCGACCCCAGGGCUCGGACUCGGGCUCAGCCCUUGAAGACGACGAACUCCGCUCCGCCCGACCCCAGGGCUCAGACUCGGGCUCAGCCCCGGAAGACGACGAACUCCGCUUCGCCCGACCCUAGGGCUCGGACUCAGCCCUGGCCUCAGCCGACGGUCUCCGCCUCGCCCGACCCAGGGGCUCGGACUCGACCUCGGCCUCGGAAGACAGACUCGACCUCGACCUCGGAGGAGCCUCCACUUCGCCCAACCCAGGGCACGGACCAACCACGUCAACAGGAGGCGCCAUCAUUACCCUACCCCAAGCUGACUCAGGCUAUGGGGAACAAGACCGGCGUCCCAUCUAGCUCGCUCCACCAGACAAGUAAUGAUGGCGCCCCGCACGCUCUAUGACGACGGCGGUUCUCAGCCCCCUUACGGAAGCAAGAGGACGUCAGCAAGGACUCGACAGCCCCGACAGCUGUCCUUCCGCCAGGCUCCAGCGCUCCUCCGACGGCCACGACACCACACGAAUCAGGUGCCAAAACCUCUCCGGCUGCCACGAUGGCAUGUACUUAGGGCGCUAGCUCUCCUCCGCUAGACACGUUAGCACACUGCUACACCCCCAUUGUACACCUAGAUCCACUCCUUGCGCCUAUUAAAGGAAGGACCAGCGCCCUCUUACAGAGGGUUGGCCGCGCGGGGAAAGGACGGGACGGGCGCUCGCGUGAGGCCGCUCGCUCCCUCCCGCGUGGAUGCUUGUAACCCCCUACUGCAAGCGCACCCGACCUGGGCGCGGGACAAACACGAAGGCCGCGGGAUUUCCACCUCUCACGCCUGUCUCCUCUCCGGCUGCCUUCCCCCUUCGCGCUCCAUCUCGCGCCGACCCAUCUGGGCUGGGGCACGCGGCGAUAGUUUACUCGUCGGUCCAGGGACCCCCCGGUCUCGAAACGCCGACAGUUGGCGCGCUAGGUAGGGGCCUGCUGCGUGUUGACGAACAGCUUCCCGUCAAGCUCCAGAUGGGCAGUCUCCAACAACCUUUCCAGCCCGGGACGGUGCUCCGUUUCGGGAGUCUUGAGUUCAUGUCCCUCGACGGCAGCUACGACAUGAUAAUCCUUCCCCCGCCGUGCGACAGCGACAAUGGCGGCCGACAGCCCGCUCGCCGGCGGCGGAAUCGACGACGUCUUCCCCGCGUGGUGGAAGAACAACUUUCGAGCUCACCCCGUCCCCUCCCCCGCCGACGGAGGAGGAGGCGGGGCAACCAAGGCCAAGCAGGGGGCGGCACCUCGUCGGCUGUCGAGCGAGUCGACGGUGCCGGCGCCCCAACGGGGGGCACGUCGGGCAUCGACCUCGCGUCUGAGACGAAGACGAGCGCCGUCUCCCCGCAACACGCCAAUCCCAAGCAAACGGACGACGCCAGUACGCUCGCGAAGGGCUUACUGGGUGUCACCCUUGUACCUGAGAUGACGGUGCAGUCAGUCCCUGACGUGACUUCGUCACCGCCCGUCGACCAAGAGGUACCGACCGAUUCCCAUCUCACGCCUUUUGGAUUCAGCCUCGACCGGCUGGGGUAUCGUAUGCGGUCACCCUAGGACCGGCUGACGGAUGUCUCGACCUACGGGCCCUCGGGGUCCAAGGAAGAUGACGAGCCCGACUUCUGUUGGGAUUUCUCUGGACUUGGUAACCCCAGUGCCAUGCGGGACUUUAUGACCGCGUGUGACUACUGCCUUUUUGACUGUUCCGACGGUAGCCGCAGCCUCGGCGACGAGGACUGCGGCCCAAGUUGUGAAUGUUUCCACGUCGAUCUAGGGGGUCCCUCCGAAGGCAACUAUCUUGGUAUGCCGGAGAACGGUGAUCUCCCUAGGCCUGUGCCUCGCGUUGACAUCCUACGAGAGCUAGUUGUGGUCCCCGUUCCGGUGGGGGGUCAUGACCCACAGCUCGAGCAAAUCCGCGGGGUGCCGGCCAGGCUCGACGAGGGAGCAGGAACACUCGAGCCGAUCCGUCGGGACAUCGGACAGGAAUGGGCGGGCCAACCUCCGGCCAGAGAAAUGCGUCAUCUACCCCAGGGUAUCCAGCACCGCAUCGCCGACGAUGUCAGGGUGAGGCCGCCACCCACUUCCAGUGGAGUCGGCCAGAACAUGGCUGCGGCGGCAAUGCUCCUCCGCGUGAUGCCGGAGCCAUCAACCACCGAGGGGCGGCGAAUUCAGGGAGAGCUCAAGAAUCUCCUGGAGGACGCCGCGGUCCGACGGGCCGAAAGCUCUGCCUCCCGAAGGCAGGGGUACCCCUUGGAACAUCGCGCCGCGACUUCCCGAUUCAUGCGGGAAGCCUCGGUCCACACCGGGCGCACGUGCAACACAGCGCCUGCGGCCCCGGGUCGCUUCGGCAACGAGCACCAUCACCGCAACCGUCGGGCCCACCUCGACGAGAGGGUGCGCCGAGGCUACCACCCCAGGCGUGGGGGACGCUACGACAGCGGGGAGGAUCGGAGUCCCUCGCCCGAACCACCCAGUCCGCAGGCUUUCAGCUGCGCCAUACGACGGGCGCCGUUCCCGACCCGGUUCCGAACCCCGACUACUAUCACAAAGUACUCGGGGGAGACGAGACCGGAACUGUGGCUCGCGGACUACCGGCUGGCCUGCCAGCUGGGUGGAACAGACGAUGACAACCUCAUCAUCCGCAACCUCCCCCUGUUCCUCUCCGACACCGCUCGCGCCUGGUUGGAGCACCUGCCUCCGGGGCAGAUCUCCAACUGGGACGACCUGGUCCAAGCCUUCGCCGGCAAUUUCCAGGGCACGUACGUGCGCCCUGGAAACUCCUGGGACCUCCGAAGCUACCGACAGCAGCCGGGAGAGUCUCUCCGGGACUACAUCCGACGAUUCUCGAAGCAGCGCACCGAGCUGCCCAACAUCACCGAUUCAGAUGUCAUCGGCGCGUUCCUCGCCGGCACCACCUGCCGUGACCUGGUGAGCAAGCUGGGUCGAAAGACUCCCACCAGGGCGAGCGAGCUGAUGGACAUCGCCGCCAAGUUCGCCUCUGGCCAGGAGGCGGUUGAGGCUAUCUUCCGGAAGGACAAGCAGCCCUAGGGCCGCCCACCGGAAGAUGCCCCCGAGGCAUCAACUCAGCGCGGCGCCAAGAAGAAAGGCAAGAAGAAGUCGCAAGCAAAACGAGACGCCGCCGACGCAGACCUUGUCGCCGCCUCCGAGUACAAGAACCCUCGGAAACCCCCCGGAGGUGCCAACCUCUUCGACAAGAUGCUCAAGGAACCGUGCCACUAUCAUCAGGGGCCCGUUAAGCACACCCUUGAGGAGUGCGCCAUGCUUCGGCGUCACUUCCACAGGGCCGGGCCACCCGCGGAGGGUGGCAGGGCUCGCGACGACGAUAAGAAGGAAGAUCACCAGGCAGGAGAGUUCCCCGAGGUCCGCGACUGCUUCAUGAUCUACGGUGGGCAAGCGGCAAACGCCUCGGCUCGGCACCGCAAGCAAGAGCGUCGGGAGGUCUGUUCGGUAAAGGUGGCGGCGCCAGUCUACCUAGACUGGUCCGACAAGCCCAUCACCUUCGACCAAGCCGACCACCCCGACCGCGUGCUGAGCCCGGGGAAAUACCCGCUCGUUGUCGACCCCGUCAUCGGCGACGUCAGGCUCACCAAGGUCCUCAUGGACGGAGGCAGCAGCCUCAACAUCAUCUACGCCGAGACCCUCGGGCUCCUGCGUGUUGAUCUGUCCUCGGUCCGAGCAGGCGUUGCGCCUUUCCAUGGGAUCAUCCCCGGGAAACGCGUCCAGCCCCUCGGACAACUCGAUCUUCCCGUCUGCUUUGGGACACCCUCCAACUUCCGAAGGGAGACCCUUACGUUCGAGGUGGUCGGGUUCCGAGGAACCUACCACACAGUGCUGGGGAGGCCAUGCUACGCGAAGUUCAUGGCUGUCCCCAACUACACCUACCUCAAGCUCAAGAUGCCGGGCCCCAACAGGGUCAUCACCGUCGGCCCCACGUACCGACACGCGUUCGAAUGCGACGUGGAGUGCGUGGAGUACGCCGAGGCUCUCGCCGAGUCUGAGGCCCUCAUCACCGACCUGGAGAGCCUCUCUAAGGAGGUGCCAGACGUGAAGCGCCACGCCGGCAACUUCGAGCCAGCGGAGACGGUUAAGUCCGUCCCCUCGACCCCAGCAGCGACGCCUCCAAGCAGAUCCGGAUCGGCUCCGAGCUCGAUCCCAAAUAGGAAGCAGUGCUCGUCGACAUUCUCCGCGCGAACGCCGACGUCUUCGCGUGGAGUCCCUCGGACAUGCCCGGCAUACCGAGGGAUGUCGCCGAGCACUCGCUGGAUAUCCGGGCUGGAGCCCGACCCGUGACGCAGCCUCUGCGCCGAUUCGACGAAGAAAAGCGCAGAGCCAUAGGCGAGGAGAUCCACAAGCUAAUGGCGGCAGGGUUCAUCAAAGAGGUAUUCCAUCCCGAAUGGCUUGCCAACCCUGUGCUUGUGAGAAAGAAAGGAGGGAAAUGGCGGAUGUGUGUAGACUACACUGGUCUAAACAAAGCAUGUCCGAAGGUUCCCUACCCUCUGCCUCGCAUCGACCAAAUCGUGGAUUCCACUGCUGGGUGCGAAACCUUGUCUUUCCUCGAUGCCUACUCAGGGUAUCACCAAAUCAGGAUGAAUGAGUCCGACCAGCUCGCGACUUCUUUCAUCACACUCUUCGGCAUGUACUGCUAUGUCACCAUGCCAUUCGGCUUGAGGAAUGCGGGUGCGACGUACCAACGGUGCAUGAACCAUGUGUUCGGCGAACACAUUGGCCGGACGGUCGAGGCCUACGUCGAUGACAUCGUAGUCAAGACAAGGAAAGCCUCUGACCUCCUUUUCGACCUUGAAGUGACAAUCUGAUGUCUCAAGGCGAAAGGUGUGAAGCUCAAUCCCGAAAAGUGUGUCUUCGGGGUUCCCCGAGGCAUGCUCUUGGGGAUCAUCGUCUCUGAGCGGGGCAUCGAAGCCAACCAGAGAAGAUCGUGGCCAUCACCAGCAUGGGGCCCAUCAAGGACUUAAAAUGCGUACAGAGGGUCAUGGGAUGCCUUGCGGCUCUGAGCCGCUUCAUCUCGCGCCUCGGUGAAAGAGGUCUGCCUCUGUACCGCCUCUUAAGGAAGGCCGAGUGCUUCACUUGGACCCGUGAGGCCGAGGAAGCCCUCGGGAACCUGAAGGCGCUCCUUACAAACGCGCCCAUCUUGGUGCCACCCGCUGCCGGAGAAGCCCUCUUGAUCUACAUCGCCGCGACCACUCAGGUGGUUAGCGCCGCGAUUGUGGUUGAGAGACGAGAAGAGGGGCAUGCAUUGCCCGUCCAGAGGCCAGUCUACUUCAUCAGCGAGGUACUGUCCGAAACCAAGAUCCGCUACCCACAAGUUCAGAAGCUGCUAUAUGCAGUGAUUCUGACACGACGGAAGUUGCGACACUACUUCGAGUCUCAUCCGGUAACUGUGGUGUCAUCCUUCCCCCUAGGGGAGAUCAUCCAGUGCCGAGAGGCCUCGGGUAGAAUUGCAAAGUGGGCGGUGGAAAUCAUGGGCGAAGCGAUCUCGUUCGCCCCUCGGAAGGCCAUCAAGUCCCAGGUCUUGGCGGACUUCGUGGCUGAAUGGGUCGACACCCAGCUCCCAACAGUUCCGAUCCAACCAGAACUCUGGACCAUGUUCUUCGACGGGUCGCUGAUGAAGACAGGAGCAGGCGCAUGCCUGCUCUUCAUCUCGCCCCUCGGAAAGCACCUACGCUACGUGCUACGCCUCCACUUCCCGGCGUCCAACAAUGUGGCUGAGUACGAGGCUCUGGUCAACGGGUUGCGCAUCGCCAUCGAGCUAGGGGUCCGACGCCUCGACGCUCGCGGUGACUCGCAACUCGUCAUCGACCAAGUCAUGAAGAACUCCCACUGCCGCGACCCGAAGAUGGAAGCCUACUGCGAUGAGGUUCGGCGCCUGGAAGACAAGUUUUACGGGCUCGAGCUCAACCACGUCGCCCGACGCUACAACGAGACUGCGGACGAGCUGGCUAAAAUAGCCUCGGGGCGAACAACGGUUCCCCCGGACAACUUGUUUAUUUCAUAACUUUUGCAUAUGAACUACAAAUUUAGUGAUUCAAAUUGCAAAAUGUUCAUAGAAUUAUUCUCUGUUUAAAUAAAAUGGUUUCACUUACUGUCUACACACUCUAAUUUUUAGGAUUGAAUAUGAACUAAUGUAGAUGUAUUUUUAUUUAUUUAAUAAAAUAAAUAAAAGGAGAACCUUAGAGAUUUAAACAUGUGUAAGCUUGUGGGAUUAAUAAUGUGUAUUACAUGAGUUUACCUCUGUUCUAAAUUUUAGGUCACAAUAAAAUAAGUUGAACUAUGUUUAUGUACUUGUAAGUAACACUUAGGGAAAUAAUAAUCUAUUUUCAAAUAAAGUUAAUGUAUGUUAUAGUUUAUGUUAUACUUUGAAUUCAUUAUCCCUUAUGUAGUAUUAUGUCUUUUAAGAUGUGUUCCAAUGUCUGUACAUGUUUGGUGUGAUGUUCAUUUGUACUUUCCAAAUGUAUUGAAUGCAUGCUCGCUUUAUCUAGACAACGAGCAGUCCGAGGUUCCUGAGUGCCUUGUUGGAGACCUCCCUGAGCAACCACCUAGUGAAGGCAAGUGUCCUCUGACCCAUUAUGUCCUACAUACUUUAUGAUUCACUGUCCCGCAUUACUUUAUGAAACCUAAGGAUUAACUAGUCUGUAUUCACUUAUCCUUGUUUACCUUUUUAGGUUAUCAUGGUUAGCAUGUUGCUAUUUCCUUAACUUAAUCAAUGAACAUGAUGUGAAUAUUUAUGAUACGAUAUUGUUAUCCUGAUUAUGUGGAUGAUCUUGUGAUACCUUAGGGGGCUCAGGCCUUUUUCCUGAGUACCUCUCUAUAAGGACCUGUUCGUGGAGUGAUCACCUGGGAUAACAGUACAACCAUGAGGGUGGAAUGGGACACCCUUAGCUGAUUAAUUAGAUGAACCUAGGGGUGUAGUUGGCUUUGCUGGAGGGGCAUAAAUGGGGUCCGGGGCGUAGUGCUCGCUCUGCCAAGGUUAGGGUGCAGAGGUUCUUUCGAUUUGGUUUUGUUAGUCACCCAUCUUGGGGAGGUGUACUGCGUUUGUACGACUGGCGAAACCUAACGAGCAGCUAUGCACCAGGGGAGUCUUUGUAAAGGCUACAUAGUGUAUCCCUGGCCAUUCACCUUGGUAGUGAAGAUCGGGUAUGUACAACCCUGGCUGGAAAGGGAUCACGACUUGUGGGUAAAGUGUACAACCUCCGCAGAGUGUUAAAAACUGGUAUAUCAGCCGAGCUCACGGUUAAGAGCAGCCUUGGGAUCCUUUUUGAUUAGAAGAACUUUGGAUACUAUUAUGUUGAUGAUUAACAAUGAUGUUAUAAAAUCUGAUCUCUGGUAUUUCCUCUUUUGAGGAUGUACUUCUGGGUAAUAACUGGGUUUAUUACUAAAACCUGGCUCUACUAAUAAUAAUAAAUACUUGACCAACUAAAAGCAACUGCUUAACCUCAACUCCAUAUACAGCUAGUCCACUUUAGCCAAACAAGACAUUUGCUGAGUACGUUGAUGUGUACUCACCCUUGCUUUACACACCACCCCCACCCCAGGUUGUCCCCAAUGUACCCAAUGCUCAGGAGGUGAUGCUGGCAACAUGGAUGACUUCGAGGAGUUCCAGGAAUACGACGAAUUCUAGUUCUUUCUUAGUGGCAAACCUCCAGUCAGCUGCCUGUGUAGGCUUAGCUUCUACGUUUCGUAAUUCCGCACUUUGAUAAUUAUGUUGAACAAUGGUUAUGUAAUAGACUCUGAGGAUGUCUUGGACAUCUUGAUGUAAUCAAAUACCUUUCCGCUAUUUAUUUCGAGCAUUGUGUGAUGAUGUCCAAUUAUGUAAUCGGUGUAUACGUGAGUUUCUGAUCUUGGCACGUAUAUGGUUCGCAUUCGGUUUGCCUUCCAAACCGGGUGUGACAAAUGUUUACCUUCGAAGGUUCAGAUGGAUAUUGCAUGUUUAGUGUUUCAAGUUCUUUCUUGUGGUUUUCAGACAAGUGUUUAGAUAUUGAUACGAAUAAGCCAUCUACGAUGUCACAGACCAGUGUAAAAUAUGUAAUUAUAAUGACUGUUUUAGGUAAUUAAAUUGUGCAUUCUCAUAAUCUUACCUCGAAAUAAUGUUCCUUAAUCCCCAUUUCAGCAUCAAGACCAACGAAAUCACAGAGAUGCCUGUGUAUGUUUGUAUUUUCUGCUCUAAACCCAGGUCUGGCCUCAAAUACUCCUUUUGGCUAAAUGGUGGUCCUCAUUGGCAAAACCACGUAAGUGGUUAGGGCGUGUAUCAACAGAUGCCUGCUUUCCAUUUCAUUUUGUGUGAGGCUUCGAAGCCAUCCAAAAAAUUACUUACACACUCAUCAUUCUUCCAAGCUUUCAAGUGCUUAAUUUCUUGUUAAUAGCAGUCAAAAUAUUUUAGAUUGGUCUGAGAACAAAGUCCUUGAACUCCACCCAUAUGAUAUUUUUAUGUUAACGGUUGGACAAGAUACUAUCUUGUUUGUAUCUGGCGUCAUGGAUUUGACAGUUUUUAUGGUCUUAUGUACUAAUUUAAAUUUAAAUAUUCUAUAGUUUGCUGAGUCCAUUUCCACUGGCAAGCGGUAUGCAACCGAAAGUUGCGGUUUCAUUUUUUUAUCUAUGAAUCUAUUAUAAAUAAAAGCUGAAGUAAGAGUACACUUGUUUGUAAUAUUUCAAAAACAGACCAUGUCAUUUCUAUUUCGUGCUGCCAGAUUUCAGAAGCUGGUAUUUUACAAGUAGCAACAGUGAUGGGAUUUGAUGAUGAACUAGAUGUAGCAGAUGGCAUUGGAGAAGCUGAUGUGAUUCUUGCAUCAAGUUUUGAAAUGAAGCAAAAUCUCUGGAUUAGUAAUGCUGCCAAGUACCACAAGCUUCCCAUAUUUGUUGCCAAGAUGAUUGUGCUUGCAUUGACAUACUUCUUUUUUUAUAUUGUAAAUGGCAGACUAAUACGAUGGCUCAAAUAGUUAAUGCUAUCAGAAUGCCUCGCAAGACGAACAUGGACUGAGACAAUAUUUUAAAUAUGAACACGGAAAUUGCAACAUACUUUAAUGUAAAUUGCAGCAUAUUUCAAUGUUAAAGAUGAACAUGACUGGGACAGCUUGGUUAUCAUAUUACUAGAUUGGACCAUAUGCUGAAUGGUUGAACUCAAGCAUAAUAAAAGCUUACCUUCUACAAACUACUGAUGACCAUCUUCAUGAUGGUACCACUGCAUUUUCAAGUUUAGAAAGAUUAUACACAUGGUAUAGUUCAGCUAUACAAUCUUGACCAUUUAGGUAACACACCUCGCUCUUGCAACAAACAUAAUCUGAUCGUGUGGGUAUUUCACCAGAAUAGGCAAUGGAAAUUAAAACUUUGAGGUGCGUAAUUUGAUAUACAAACAUAAUAUUCUGAUACUGUUGGUAAGAGGGCAGGAUGCCAUUUUUCAGUAUUCCUUGUAUCAUGAGACCAUAUAUGAUCUAUUAACAACAUAUCUGUAGUAGAGAAUACAUGUAUCAGUGCACCUCAUAAGAGGACUACGGUGGUAGUUUCAUGGUGGCAAGGAUAGCAACAAAAUGAAAGUGGAACACCCAAAAUACUGAAAGGAGGCAGAGUCCGUGUAUUCGAAUUGAGGUUGUCUUUUAUGUAAAUCAAAUUGAACCGCCAAAAAAAUUCAAUGGUUUUAUUAAUAUGCAUCACAUUUGGAUAUGAGCAUGAAAAUAAGUGCAAGAUAAAGUGACCUUGAUAUAGCGUCCGAUAGGGCGUUUUUUUCUAGUACUCUUCUAAAACUACAACACCCAAGCAUGUUGUAGAAGAGCGUGUUGUAGCUUGAUUUUUAUGUUUGUUUUUGAAGUUCAUGAUAGAGAGCCUCUUGGAAAUGCUUCUUAGCAAACUAGACAAGGCAUGACUUGUGGACCGACGACAAAGGAGUCCUUGAUGAGCAGCUUAUCCUAGAAGAUGUCUAUCUAAAAUGUUUUUACUGUUUUUUUGAAUCUACCAGUUUUUUUAGAUAGGACGACGUCCCGACCACACCAGCUAUUUAGGCUAGGCUUUCACCACUUGAGCACACUCAGCCCCGUUUGGUUCCAUUAGUCCUAUUAAUAAAGUUUAGUCUAGGGACUAAAGUUUAGUCCCUACCCUAUUUAGUUGUUAGGACUAAACAGAUUUUAAAUACAUUAAAUGCAACACAUAAAGACCAAAAUAUCACUUUACUUGUUUCAGGUCAGUUUUUAGACUAGGGCAAUUAGAGUAAAUAUUGCCCUUUAGUCCCUUUUAGCACACAUGUGAGGAACUAGAGACUAAAUCCAAUUAGUCUCUAAUUUAGUUCUUUCGUUUGGUAAAAUAGAGACUAAAAAUUAGUCCCUCUAACUAAGGGGGUGUUUGGUUAGAGGGACUAAAGAUUAGUCUCUAGUUUUUAGUCCCUUUUUUGCCAAACACUAGGAUUAAAAUAUGGACUAAAAUGAUUUAGUCUUUAGUUCUUCACAUAGGUGCUAAAAUAGACUAAAAGCCCAUAAUUAUCAUGUUGCCCUUACCUUUUUAUAGAUAUAUCUAAUAUCUUGUUAGAUGUUUGUUAGACUAGUUUAUCUGAUAAUUCAAGAUGUAAUAAACUUUCUAUAAGUUUGUUGGCUGUUUGCCUAUAUUAACAUGCAACCAUGAUGGCCAAGGGCUCAUUCACGUUACCAUCAAUUAAUUCACUAUUCGGAGCCACUCUUCCCACAAAUACAUCUAGUCCUAUCUCUCCCAUGGCGACUUCAUCCUCCACCAAUUCGCCGCAGAUCCUUGGUCUAGCUAUCUUUAAGAAGCUAACCCGGGAGAACUACCUUCUCUGCAAGGCACAGAUCAUGCCUACCAUCCGCGCGCGGUGCCCAGCUCGUCGGGAUUCUGGACGGCACUAUCGCUGCUCCGACCAAGACCAUGAAGGUCAUCGACGACAAGAAGACUGAAGCCACGAUACCCAACCCAGACUAUGAGACCUGGUUGGCUCUAGGGGCCUGUUUGGUUUGUGGCUAAAUGUGCCACACUUUGCCUAAGGUUAGUCGUUCGAAUUGAAUAACUAACCUUAGGCAGAAAAGUUAGGUAAAGUGUGGUAACUGAGGUAGUGAACCAAACAGGCCAUAGAUCAGCAACUAUUGGUGUAUCUUCUCAACUCGCCGACGAAGAAAGUGUUGGUCCAAGUGGUCACCUCACGUCUACAGCAGAAGUGUGGGCGUCUCUUUGAGGGGAUGUUCGUGGCACAAUACCGUGCACGUGCAACCAAUCUCCUCGUGGGGCUUGUCAGCUGCAAGAAGGACAUUAUGACUAUGGCUGCCUACUACUCUCAAGUCCCAAUUCCCAAAUGAGGAGUAUUGGCGAUGAACUAACUCGCUACCAUUAGCAAAAAGAUUAGUGAUGAUGAGAUGGUCUCGUUCAUCCUUAAUGGACUAGACUUCGAUACAACUCCGUGUCAUCGUCCAUUCUUGGACGUCAAGUUUCUGCCUCUUAUCCAAAGAAUUGAAAAGAGAUUGUUAUGUUCCUCAAAUUUUUUAUCUCAGGCUGAACGUUUGGAGUUGGUAAAUUCAGUAUUUACGGCUUUGCCAACCUUCUUUAUGUGUACGCUCAAGAUUCCAAAAUCUAUCAUUAAGCAGAUAGACAUUUACAUGAAGCAUUGUCUUUGGAGAGGGAAUGACACAAGCUCCAAAAAACCGCCUCUGGUUGCUUGGUCUACGGUUACUCAGAGAAAAGUAAAUGGAGGUCUUGGGGUGUUACGCCUUGAAACUCAAAAUGAUGCUUUUCUUCUAAAAUUCUUUCAUAAGUUCUUCAAUAGUUAUGAUUUACCUUGGGUAAAUAUCAUCUGGAAUAAAUAUUAUACGUCCAACGGACUUCCUGGUCAUAGAAGAAUUGGCUCCUUAUGGUUGAAGAGUAUACUCAAACUUCUUCACAACUUUAAGGGCCUGGCGCAUCCAAUCAUUGGCAAUGGUAGAUCAAUUUUUUCCUGGGAAGAUCAGUGGACUAAGAGUAUUCCAAGACAACAAUAUCCAGAAUUAUUCUCUUUUACAAAAAGCACAAAACUGUCUAUCGCAGAGGUUAAGGAACAAGAUAAUCUCUUUCGUAUUUUUCAAUUGCCUAUUUCUGAGCAAGCUUAUGAACAAUAUCUGGAGCUACAGGUAGUCUGGGAGCAAAUUGUCCUCAGUAAUGUAAAGGACCGAUGAAGAUACAUAUGGGGCUCAAACAGCUAUUCAACUCAAAAAGCUUACAGACAUUUAAUGGGACAGACACAAGUUCACUCUAUCUACAAGCACCUAUGGAAGAGUAAAUGUCAACCAAAGCAUAAAGUCUUCUAUUGGCUAUGGCUUAAAAACAGACUCAAAACCAGGAAUAUGCUGUGAAGGAAAAACAUGAUUCUAGAAUCAUACUCAUAUGAGAACUGUUUAUGGCAAAGAGAGGAGACUCUUUAUCACCUGUUUCUGAGAUGCAACUUUGCAAAAGCUUGUGGGAACUCAAUUAGAAUAACCCCACCCAGAAUUGCUCAUACAGAGGAGGUCUCGGAAAACCUCAAACAACAGCUUAACGUUCCUUUUUCUAUGGAGGUCAUCAUUAUUAUGACAUGGAGCAUUUGGAAAAGCCGCAAUGAAUGGUUGUUUGAAAAUAAAGACCCUUCAGUGCAUCACUGUACGCAGGAAUUCAGUAAGGAACUACGGUUGGUUAUUCACAGAGCGCGCGGUAAAUAUGACAUCUCCAUUCCAAACUGGUUGGAUUUGUGGCAGUCAUAAGAUUUGUUUUGCUCUGACCAAUCUUUGUAACUUUUCAAUUAGAUCUUUCAGUCUAACAUAUAACUCUAGUAACCAAGUCGAGUUGUACCUUUUCAUAUUUAAUAAAAAUUCUCAGUAGGGGUCUCCCCUCCUGAUCUUUCAAAAAAAAAGAUUCAGUAUCUUUAGGAGAUCUGUACUCUGAGUUGAUCUCCUAUGAUAUUCGCCUUCAAUAGCAGAUCCAACAAGAAAUAGGAGGGAAUUUCCAGUCAUCGGCCAAUGCUACAUCCCAUGGCCGAGGAGGACAGCAUGGUCGCAGCACCUACCGUGGCCGUGGUCAGAAACAACAACCAUGGAGGUUUUUCCAAGCAAACAAUGCAGACUAACAAGCGAACAUGCCAGAUCUGCAAGAAGAUUGGUCAUGAGACAUUUGACUGCUAGCAUCGUUAUGAAGAGAAUUACCAGGGAAAGGUUGUUGGCUCGGUCGUCAUAAAUUAUUUUAUUGAUACAAACUGGUAUGCAGAAUUGCAGAUAGCGAUGUCACCUAUCAUAUCACAGGUGAACUAGAGAAACUCACCAUCAGUGGACAAGAUCAAGUGCACACUGCCAACGGAUCGGGUAUGUAAAUUAGUAAUAUUGGUCAUUCGGUUUUACAUACCCCUAGUAGUGGUUUGCAUCUUAGAAAUAUUCUUCAUGUUUCUAGGUCCAGUAAAAACCUUGUUUUUGUUCACCGAUUAGCUACUAACAAUAAUGCAUUUCUUGAAUUUCAUCUAAAUUGCUUCAUCAAGGACAAGGCCACGGAGAGAAGUCUUCUUCAAGGUAGAUGCGAGGGAUGUCUCUAUCCACUCGUAUCAAAACAGUCAAGAUCCAAGACCAGUAGACAAGUCCUUGGUGUCAAUAGGCCAUCGACAGCCCAAUGGCAUAGUCGCCUUGGCCAUCCUGCCAUUUUAAUAGUCAAGCAAGUUAUUAGAAACUUUAAUCUUCCUGUUUCCAAUGGUUUGAGUCAUGAGAGUGUGUGUGGUCAUUGUCAACAAGCAAAAAGUCACCAAUUACCUUACCCCAAGUCUACUAGUGUGUCUAAAUCACCUCUUGAACUCAUAUUCUCUAAUGUCUGGGGUCGUGCACCCAUGUCUGUAGGGAGACACACUUAUUAUGUAAGUUUUAUUGAUGAUUAUAGCAAAUUUACUUGGAUUUAUCUCUUUAAACACAAAUAUGAUGUCUUUCAAGCCUUUCACAAUUUUCAUAAUCUUGUUGAAAGAAAAUUGAAUAAAAAGAUCCUUGUUAUGCAAUCGGACUAGGGAGGCGAAUAUGAAACACUAAACUCUUUCUUCCAACAGAUAGGAAUAUCUCAUCGUGUUUCUUGUCCUUAUGCCCACCAACAAAACAGAUCAACAGAAACAAAACACAGACAUAUAGUAGAAGUUGGUUUUGCACUUAUAGCAAAUGCAUCUAUGCCUCUUAAAUUUUGGGAUGAGACAUUUCUUACUGUUGCAUAUCUCAUAAACAUUCUUCCCAUAAAAUUCUUGAACCAACACUCCCAACAAAUUUUUUUCAAAAGAAACCUACCUAUACGUCCCUUCGGAUUUUUGGGUGUGCAUGUUGGCCCUGUUGAGUUUGUGAUCCAAAUUCUGAAGAAGGCGGCCAAGUUGGCAUCGCUACGCUUCGGCUCGUCGCCGAUACGGAUCGUUCCCUACUCACAUUAGGGUUUCACUAUUUUCUUUUCUGUUUUCAUUGCCCCUUUCUUUCUCUUUGUUCUUCCUACUGGAGGGCUCUAUCAAAGAGUAUUACCAUCCCAUAGAGGAGGAAACCAAAGAUUAUGAACGAUGUAGCACAAUCUUCAACCCAAGAAUCACCAAGUAUUGUGAUCUCAGGGGCGAGGGAGUGUAAAAGGAGUUGCUCGCGAUUAGGUAGAGGGGGUUUUAUCAGGUGUGUGCUUUGAGCAUGAUGGAACUGAGGGGGCUGGUGGGAGGUUUUAUAGGCGAGCAGUAUGCGAGGUGGUGCUUAGGGUGUGGAGUGGUGGUGAUGGAGCAUGUGCCAUGUGGCAGAAGGUGCGACAAAGGGGAGUGGGCCUGGUGUUGCUGGUGGUGGGUGCGCAGCAAAGGGGGUGUGGGCGGUGGUAGUGCGCAUGGAGGCAAUGCACUUGUGCGGGGGCACGAGUGAGUGGUGGGGUCGAUGACCUUGAUGUUUAUGGUCUCUGGUUCCAAGAAUCUUUGCCUCUGUGUAUGGUAAUAAAUUUUUCUGUGCUCGUUUCCUGUUUACAUUAACUUAGGGGCAAUGCUUUGAUUCUCAUGGUUGGUCCUUUGGACUAAUUGACCAGAUCGGUCCCUUCCAGCCUUCAAGGAUUAGCUUUCCGGUACCUUCUUGGGUAAGAUGCUUUUCUCUUGAGAUGGGUUAAGAGGAGAAUGGAACCAUAAGGUGAGGAUUAGCUCUAAUUUGUGAUUUAUGUUUUUAGAGAAAACCACUUUUUGAAAAAGAAAACUGACAAGCUUAGCAUAAAUAAAUCAAAUGUUUUGAAUGGGAGGGGAGUAGUGUUUUCCAAAGCACAAACUACUCGGAUUCGAGGGCUAAGCGUAACUACUACUGCUUGGCUUCUAAACUUGACUCAAAUUCUGGUUGCUUUGGAUGCCUUUGAGGAAGAUGAGAGUGCUAAGAACAUUCCCAUUUCCUUCUUCUCUUGGUCGCUGAAGGGUUGCCUUGAGACUCUUUCUUGAGUAGACGAGCUUUCUGCUGAUUCUCCAAGAACUUGAUGGACUGUGCCUGCUGUGAAAGCAAGACCUUGGAUGUUGCACUACCUGAAGCACUCGACAAAGCCUAAAAAACACUCGGCAAAGAGAGCUCGGCGAACGGUACAUCGACAACGGCUUCUUUGCCAAGUACUUUAUAUCAGGCACUCGACAAAGACUUUGCCGAGUGUCACUCGGUACUCGGCAAAGAAAAGCCGCCAUCACGAUGACUGGUAAUGGAGACGGCGCCUUUGCCGAGAGCCGAUGUACUGUUCACGGCUAGGUUUCUACACAUACUGCGUCACAACUUUCUCGAAACAUUUUCAAUUUUUUAUCACAGUCUGUACAUAUGAUAUCAUGACAUAUGGACAAGUUUCAUGAUUUUCUGAUUUUUUUGUGUUUUAUACAAUUUUAAACAAUUGCAUGGCAAGUUCACAGUCAUGUUUAGUGAGCAUGGUGCUCCAAGAUUCUGGUCUGUUCUUGAAAUUGGUCGUAACUUGUGUUAAAUAACAUGGAUAUCAUUUUUGCGUGCACGGUUUUCCAUAUUUCGAGGACUUACAUUUCAAAUGUGAAUUAUCCGAGUAAAUUCAAUUAAACGAACUAAAUCUAAUAGUUAUAGAAAACACUUUUAUAAUUGUAUCAAAAUGAUACAUGUAGGUCUACAUAAUGUAGGAACAUACCCAAAAAGUUUGGUUGGGAAAAUAAAAAAAUAAAAAUAUACUUUGCCGAGUGUAAAAAAUGGCACUUGGCAAAGCAUGCUCUGCCGAGUGUUAGCCGUUUGACACUCGGUAAAGAAGCUUCUUUGCUGAGUGCCAAAGCUCGGCGCUCGAUAAAGAUAACGGCCGUCAGCUAUAGACGGCUGCUGACGGCCCUUUGCCGAGCGCCGCCAUUCGCCAAGUGUUUGGCACUCGGCAAAGGUUUCUUUGCCGAGAGUCCUACUCUCGGUAAACACGGUCAUUACCGAGAGCUGGAAUUUACCGAGUGCCCGACAGAAAGCACUCGGCAAAGAGCCGAGCACUCGGUAAAGAGCCGGAUUCUGGUAGUGUUGGUGAUGACUAUGGUUUCUCUUAGAAUUCUUGUUACAUCAACGAAUGCCAUUAUUUCCAAGUUCCUUGUGGCUGCAUUCUGACUUCGGGCAUCGACUAGAUCCUUUUGGCACUGCAGUAAUAGGUUUUCUGCUUUAUCUACUCGCAUGGUUGUUUUUCUGCAACUGAGUGACUAUCUUGUCACACUUUUCAUCCAAGGCAAGCAGAUAGAGGACAAGGUAUGCUGUUGUGGGAUCUCCAAUAUGCCUUUGCUCUCUCAAAGCUUGCACUUAGGCCUUCCACUCUUGAUGGGUCUUGUGGAGAGAUGGAAAGAAUCUCAUGGGGUGGUUCCCACUUCUUCCUAGUAGACCGAGCAUAGUGUCCUCAGCGCUUCACGAGCCACGAGAUGGCAAGUGUCUUUGAACCUAUGCCCAGUUGUCAUGGAACACCAUCUAGAUUGCCGGUUACUUGACCCAAUGUACGUGGUAACCAUGUACUUCUUUUUACCAUGUUCCAUGAACUCCAUUCCAAAGUAUUAUGGGUAACCAGGGAUUCCAAGGCAUGUUACUUUGAGUUUAUUCCGCAUUAUUUGGAAGCAACACAUUUACAAGAAAAGGACAUACUCGAAUCAUUAUUCAUCUUGUUUGACCGCUAACUAGAGGAUUAAGUUUUGUUUGAAGUUAUAAAUUUUAGGUUUGCCUAUUCACCCCCGUCUAUAUGACUAUUAGAAGUCAAGAAAACCAAUGGUGGGAUCAUACUAUCUCAAGAAAAAUAUGCUCUUGAUAUACUGAAGAAAGUUGGUAUGAGCAAGUGCAAACCAUGAACUACUCCUCUAUCUGUUUCAGAGAAACUUUCUAGGUAUGAAUAAAAAUCUCUUGGAUAAAAGGACGAUACAAAGUACAGAAGCAUAGUUGGAGCUCUUCAAUAUCUCACCCUUACUCAACCAGAAUUGGCCUUUCUAGUUAAUAAGGUCUACCAAUAUUUACACUCACCAACUUAUUCACAUUGGACUAUAGUUAAAAGGAUAUUGCGCUAUGUCAAGUACUCAUGUGAUUUAAGAAUUAGGAAGUCAGCAUCAAGCCUGGUCACUGCCUUCUCUGCUGCAGAUUGGACAAGCAAUGUAGAUGACAGAAGUUGUACUAGUGGGUUUGCUAUGUUCUUUGGACCCAACCUUGUUUCAUGGAGUGCUAGAAAACAACCUACGAUGGCAAGAUCCAACACAUAAGCUAAGUACAAAUCCUUGGCGAAUGCAACAACAGAAAUUAUUUGGGUUGAGUCCUUUUUGAAAAAAACUUGGAAUUAAACAAGAACAAUCUCUGUGUCCGUGGUGUGAAAACUUAGGAGCCACUUAUCUCUUAGAGAAUCCAGUGUUUUAUGCAAUGGUUAAGCAUAUCGAGAUUUAUUUUCAUUUUCUGUGGGAGAGAGUUGCACAGAAAAAGAUGUAGAUUCGACUUAUUCGAUCCCAAGAUCAAAUAGCUGAUGGUUUUACUAAAGCCCUUUCCAUGCAAAGCUUUCAAAUGUUCAAGAACAAUCUUAAUCUAUUCACAAAACCAGGUUAACGUUGAGGGAGGUUGUUAGGAAUAUCUAGUAUUCUGUUAGAUAUAUCUAAUAUCUUGUUAGAUGUUUUGUUAGAUUGGUUUAUCUGAUAAGUUAACAUGUAACAAAUUUCUUGUAAAUCUGUUGGUUGUUUCCCUAUAUUAACAUGCAACCGUGAAGGCUAAGGGCUCAUCCACGUUACCAUCAAUUAAUUCUCAAAUAUUUGUACGCGUUAUGUUCAAAACCUAUUAUGAUGGCCACACGAUCCUUAAUAAGUCCAAUAAACUACUCCCUUAGUUUUUUAUUUAUCGUGUUUUAGUUCAAAAAUAAACUAGCGGGAAACAAAUAUUCGAGAACGGAGGGAGUUAUUCAAAAUCUCAUCUUGCAUUCUUACUCUGAUCCCAACCUUCGUCCAGCCCUCCAGUCAUGUUUAUCAAUUAUCAAAAAUUUAGAUCAUUUCUCAAGUUAAUUGUUUAUUAGUUGAAGCCUUUUCAUCUAUGAUUAUUGGAGGAAACUAACAAAAGGACAAUAUAUUAUAUUUGUCACAAGUCACUACACCUUUAGUGCAUCAGUUUCUUCGUACGUCGCCUGACUCUACUCCUCCCACUCGUGGAACCGAUUGGAUCGCUCGCCCUCGGCUGCCCCUCCCGCUGGAAUAAACAAAAAAUAGGGCUUUGAAGCCUUUUAAUUUAUGACUAUUUUGGAGAAAAAUAACAAAAGGAUGGUACAUUGUACCUGGUCACAAGUCACUACACCUUUAAUGCACGAGUUUCUUCGUGCGUCGCCUUGGCUUCUCCUCCCACUUGCAUGCAAAACGCUCGUCCUGGCUGCCCCUCUCGUUGGAAUAAACAAAAAAAUUGGGGCACAAAUAGCAUGUUUCAAACCCUGCUUGCACGAGUCAAACCAAACAUACUCUACUACUAUAGUGCACGCCUAUUUAUAUUAUACAUAGAAGAGGUAUUGUAAUUAUAUAUACUAAUAAUUAGAAAAACAUUUAAAAAAUAUAAUAAUGUUUGAAUAAAUAUAUUAUUUAAACAAGAUACAUGUAUCUAUAAGAUAUAUAGAAACUAUAGCAAUGUAGGAGCAACUCACUAGUAACUACAUAAUGUGGUGGUAGGGAUGUUAGCACGAGACGAGAGAUGAUGGGUUUCAAUAUCCAGGGGUGUAUAUUUUUGAAAAUUGCAAGAUUAAUAUUUGCACUAUAGUAGACCCUAUCCAUUCCAAAAAAACGGUUUAAUAUUUUUGCAAUUUUAAAAAAUUUCAAAUCAACCAUUAUGCCCCAUUUAAUAAGUAGUGGCAUGGUAGGGGUUCCCAAAAACUGCCCUUAAAUUGAUAUUGGUCAUCUCUAAGAAUCAUUUGUUUCGUAGUGUGAUCAAUUUCAUCUCAAGGAAACAUAGUUGAAAGCAUUUUAACAACCUUCACAUAGCCGGAUUUCGGUCGGCACGAUAGUCAAACCACUUAAAUUUUGUGCACCAUGUUGGAAGUUGUCGACGUGAUGUAAGCCCUCUUAUUUUUUUUUCAUGGUUCAUUGUAAAAUUUAGUGACAUUGUUUUUUACAGUAUACAAUGUAUUCGUCGAUAAUGUGGUCAGGUCAAACUUUUAAAGGUGUUCAUAGAGUUAAAUCUAGUAUCUAUGUGCGUCGGUGCACGCAUCCCUAAUAUUUAAUUCGUAAUAAAAAAUUACUUAAAUCUUGGUGAUGUAUUCUCAAAACGGCACUUAUUCAAGGGCCUAUUUAUUUCAGCUUAUAAUUUGAUCAGAUUAUAUAAUCUAACUUAAAUAAUAUAGAUGUAAAAUAAAUAGGUUCAUUAUUUAGGUAGAUUAUAUAAUUUAGUGGUCAAAUUAUCAUAAUCUCAUAAGCUACUUAACACAAACUUAUUUCAACUUUUUAUAUAAAAGCCCUAUUACUCAUGACAACUUGAGGUCAUCAUUUUCUUCUAUUUUUUCUUGCUCCGCCACACAACAUAUGAAAAAAAAUCAAUAAUUAAAGGUCCAAUAAGGUGGAUUGUCAAAUAGCCAACACACAGAUUAUUUAAUCUAGAUCUAGAUUAUUUAAUCUCGUAUAUAAUCUAGAUUAUAUAAUCUAUAAUCUGAUAUAUUGCGUAAGUACCUUCAAUAUCUAAUUCUGACAUGAUCUAUCUUGAGAGUCAUUCGUUUCGUUAACUUUUUUCUACUAUUAUAAAGCACCAGUUUCUAUGGUUAUCUCGUGUCACGCGCAAAGCAUGUAGAUCUAUUUCUCUCGUCUUAUUUGUGGUCCGUUAUCCUAUAGAUGGUCCAUGAAAUUCACCUAAGCCUAAAUGAUCGUGAGAAACCACUUAAGUCUAAUACGACAGGAAGCCGUAUGUAGAGCAACGCUCUCACAUGGUACCACUCCGCCAGCUAAAGGAGCACGAGCAACCGAGUGAGGUAUAAAAAAGGUUUAGUUCCUUUUUAACUAAUAUAUUUCUAGACCUUUUGACUAAAAAUAAAGUAUAAUAUUUGUUCUUAUAUGUUCUCGCAACACAUAUGCAUUAUACUAGUUGCGAGAAACUCCAAUAGUUCUUUAAAAAAUGGCUUGUUAAAGUCAUAUUUAGCAAGUUGCUAAAUAAAUAUUGAAAGUAAAAAAUAGCUUGGUCUCCAAUAGUUGAUCAUAUUUAGGGAGUAGUUCGAUUUUGAAUUUAGCUUUGGUAGGCCUGCCCCCGACGGGUCUGGCUAAUGACAAAGUUGAGAGCAGAGGAUGUAAAGGGUGGAGGAGAAAAGGUCGGUCGACACGACCUGUGGAGGAGCGGUGAUCCGUGGGCACAACCUAUGGGGCAGCAGUGGUCCAACGGUGCAGAAAAAGCCUGUGUCACACGUGUUGGACAUAGCUGUCUCACUGUGCGGGAAAGUAGAAAAAAAGAAUGUGGUGCACUUGGCUAUCUGAGUGUAUGAGAAAGCGAAAAAAUGAGCACGCUAGUGUGAAGAAAUUGACAGUAACUAUGUCUAUGGAGUUCAUAUCGAGUUGCUAAAUGUGGAGAGUAAAUAAGAUUAGAUAGCAAGUAACUAAAUUUAUCAAGUCUAUUUAAAAUAUUAUGGAGAAACAUUUUCUAUUGAUUUUUUAAAUAUAAAAAUUUAGAAGUUGUUUACAGAACUAUCAGAGUUGCUCUUACAAUAUGCCACUAUGGAUGGAAAAGCAUGAUAAUAGACGUACUUUCCAUAUGUGGCCAAGGCGACGAGUGCUUGGCAGCAAGAGGUUGAAGGGCCAUGCCACGUGGGUAGGUAGGCUGGCCAAAGAUAUCUCGAUCCUACGUGGCCCAAUGGAGCGCGGGCACACGGAUAUCGCAGCCAAUGGCGGGUGGGUUAUGGAUAUCCCCAUCCCGCCUCGUCUUCGGCCGCUCGCGCUCUUAAUAGCAGCCUCAGAUUCUACUCGGCUCUCAAACGCCACUUGUUCUCCCUCCCUCUCUGCCUGACCAGCUAGGAUCAGCGGAAGCAGCAAUGGUGAUGGCGUCGUCGAGCGGGCUGAGGAGCUGCAGCGCCGUGGGCGUGCCCAGCCUGCUGGCGCCGUCGUCCCGGUCCGGCCGCCUGGCGCCGUUCUGCGCCAACGCCACCACCUCUGGCCGCGUCACCAUGUCCGCGGAGUGGAUGCCCGGCCAGCCACGCCCUGCCCACCUCGACGGCUCCUCUCCCGGGUAAGCAAGCAGAAGCAGGCUAGCUAGCGACUGAUCGAGUGACAACGGCGUGCUCUGCUCUCCCUGUCUCUCUGACGAGUGUUGACAUACAGGGACUUCGGCUUCGAUCCGCUGGGCCUCGCGACCGUGCCGGAGAACUUCGAGCGGUUCAAGGAGUCAGAGGUGUACCACUGCCGCUGGGCCAUGCUUGCCGUCCCCGGGAUCCUGGUGCCGGAAGCUCUGGGCCUGGGCAACUGGGUGAAGGCGCAGGAGUGGGCGGCCGUCCCCGGCGGGCAGGCCACGUACCUGGGCGCCCCGGUGCCGUGGGGCACGCUGCCGACCAUCCUGGUGAUCGAGUUCGUGGCCAUCGCCUUCGCCGAGCACCAGCGCACCAUGGAGAAGGACCCCGAGAAGAAGAAGUACCCCGGCGGCGCCUUCGACCCGCUCGGCUUCUCCAAGGACCCCGCCAAGUUCGAGGAGUACAAGCUCAAGGAGAUCAAGAACGGCCGCCUCGCCAUGCUGGCCUUCGUCGGCUUCUGCGUCCAGCAGUCGGCGUACCCCGGCACCGGCCCGCUGGAGAACCUCGCCUCCCACCUCGCCGACCCGUGGCACAACAACAUCGGCGACAUCAUCAUCCCCAGAUCAAUCUCCCCUUGAGCUCAGCUCAGCUGCUGGUUGCUGUUUCCUGUGUACGACUAGGCCCUGCCUGUACAACGAGCGACGACGGUGACUUCCCGCCCGGAAAUUAAACCCUCGUAAUGUAAAGCUUAUGUUAUUAAGUAGCGGCUACUCUUGUAGUCUUGUCUGUAUCAAAUAUAAACUGGUUUGUUAGCUGAAUCCCAAGGUUAUUUCUGAGCCUAACCAGGGGAAAUUUAGCUCAAAACGGAGAAAAUACAUACGAGACCUUUGAUAACUACAAAGUAUUGUAUUUCAUGAGCUAGACACGAUGUUUUUUUUUAAGAUUCACGAGGGAGAGCCUCUACUGAGAUUUUAUUAGAAAUGACAAAAGAAAAUGUUACAACUUAGCCUAGUUACAAAACGUAAUCCAAAAGAUCUAAUUAUGUAGUUUACAAGCAAUGUAGCAAGUAGAACAACUCUUAUGUCUGCCACGAACUCAGCCAAUUCGGGAUGAAAAUGUAAAAUUCACACGCGCUCUGUUAAUGAUCAACCACAGCUCCUUACAGAAUUCUUGCGUACAGUGAUAAACCGAAGGAUCUUUAUUUGUAAAUAGCCAUUCAUUUCGGCUUUUCCAGAUGCUCCAAGUCAUGAGAAUGAUAAUCUCCAUAGAGAAAAGGACGUUAAGUUGGUGUUUAAGGUUUGCUGAGGCCUCCUCUGGAUUAGAAAUUCUGGGGGUUAUUCCAAUUGAGUUCCAGGAGGCUUUUGCAAAAUUGCAUCUGAGGAACAAAUGAUAAAGCGUCUCCUCCCUUUGCCAUAAACAAUUCUCACAUGAGUAAGAUUCCAGGGUCAUGUUUUUCCUUCUUAGCAUAUCUCUGGUAUUUAGUCUAUUUUUAAGCCACAGCCAAUAGAAAACUCUAUGCUUAGGUUGGUGCUCUUCCAUAAGUGUUUGUAGAUAGGGUGAACCUGCGUCUGGCCCAUAAAGUGCCUGUAAGCUUUUUGCGAAGAGUAGUUGUCAGAGCCCCAAAUGUAUCGCCAACGGUCGUGAACAUUACUGAGGGCAAUUUGCUCCGAGACCACCUGCAACUCCAGAUACUGAUCAUAAGCUUGCUCAGAAAUAGGCAAAUGGAAAAAACCAGCGAACUGAUUCUGCUCUUUAGCUUCUUUGAUAGAUAGCUUUGUGUUUUUGACAAAAGAGAAUAGUUCUGGAAAUUUUUGUCUUGGGAUGUUCUGGCUCCACUGAUCAUCCCAGAACGAAAUUGAUCUACCAUUGCCAAUGACUGGGUGCGCCAGGCCCUUAAAGUUGGGGAGGAGCUUGAUCAUGCUCUUCCACCAGAAAGAACCAAUGUUUCUAUGACCUGGCAGUCCACUGGACAAAUAGUAAUUAUUCUAGAUGAGAUUCACCCAUGGUAAGUCACUGUUAUUGAAGAAUUUAUGCAAAAAUUUGAUCAGAAGAGCCUCGUUUUGAGUUUCAAGGCGAAGCACCCCUAGCCCGCCAUUCACUUUUCUCUGAGUAACCGAAACCCAAGCAAUCAGAGGCGAUUUCUUGGAACUAAGGUCAUUCCCUCUCCACAGACAGUUUCUCCUGAAGAUGUCUAUUUGCUUAAUGAUGGUUUUAGGAAUCUUGAGCGUACACAUAAAGAAGGUUGGCAGAGCUGAAAAGACUGAAUUUACCAACACCAAGCGCCCAACUUGGGAUAAAAAAUUUGAAGAGCAUGACAAUCUCUUUUCAAUCCUUUGGAUAAGAGGCAGAAAGUGCUGCUUUCUGGAUUUCGCAAGGCCCAAAGGCAAUCCAAGAUAGGUGAAUGGCAUUCCUCCAAUCUGGCAGUUGAGAGUUCGAGAGAGGAUCUCCAUCUUCUCUGAAGGCACAUUUAUUGGAUACAUAUUUGAUUUGUUAUAGUUUACCUUUAGGCCAGUAGAAGUCUCAAAUGAGUUGAGAAUUGCCUUAAGGAAGAAAAGUUGCUUUGGACAAGCCUCUAGAAUCAAAAGAGUAUCAUCUGCAUACUGAACAAUCGGGAAAUCCAGGUCACCAAUAGCAGGUAAAGGAAGCUUAAGAAGAUUCAAAAGCCUGGCCUUAUUAAUAAUGCUCUGAAGAAGGUCAGCCGCCAAGACGAACAACAGUGGCGAAAGAGGGUCUCCUUGUCUAAUACCUCGCUUGCAAUGGAAGGAUUUACCAGGGACGCCAUUGAGCAACACCGAAGAAGUGCCAGAAAGAAGGAUGCUCCGAACCCAAUUAACCCACUUAGGACCAAAGCCUUUGUGGAUCAAAACUUGAAGAAUCAGUUCAUGCUCAACAGUGUCAAAAGCCUUUUCGAAGUCUAGUUUAAGCACAAUGAUUUCUUUCUUUGAGGAGUGGCAUAAGUGAAUGUAUUCAUAAGCCCAAGCCAAGCAAUCCUGAAUAGAUCUGCCCUUGAUGAAACCAUAUUGGUUCCUAUGAAUUAAUCGAGACAUGAACGACUGCAGACGAUUUGCCAAAAGCUUCAUUAGGAUUUUCAUACUAUUGUUUAAUAACGAAAUUGGCCUAUAAUCUCCCACCUUCUGCGUAUUCUCCUUCUUCGGGAUCAAAACAAUGAAGGACCCAUUAAUACUUCUUAGGCAAACUUCACCAUGAUAGAAUUUUUCACAAAGAUCAUAGAAGUCUUGAGCAAUGAUAUGCCAACACUUCUUAAUGAAGUUGGUAUUGAAACCAUCAGGACCAGGAGAUUUAUCCGAAGGUAAUGAUUUUAUAAUGCUGUCAAUCUCCAUCUUAGUGAACGGGGUGUCUCACUCGUGAAGCUCCUCAUUACGGAUUAAAAGCUCUGGAAGGUCAAAAUCAAUGCCUGAGAAAUCAGACGAUCCCAAUCUGCACUUGAAAGCAUCCCAGAGGAGACCAGAUUUAUGUUCGUGCUCAAAAUGUAUGACCCCAUUCUCGUCAGUCAAAGUGGCAAUUGAAUUUUUCCUGUGUUUAAUGGUGGCAUGAGCAUGGAAGAAACGAGAGCCAAUGUCACCAUCAGUUACCCACUUAAUAGUCGCCCGCUGCUUCCAAUAAAUUUUCUGAAUGUUCAGUAGAUCGGCCACUUUUUGCUGCAGAAUAUCUCUGAAAUUCCAUUCCUCAAUAGAAAGAUCCCGAUGCUCUUCCAUAUUGUCUAUAAGUUCAAUUAGUAGCUUGAUGUUUUGCACCGUUUUAUCAAUUUUUGGCAGCGAUCUCUACCAAUCCUUCAGAACCUUUCGAACACACUUAAACUUGGCAGUCAGGUUUUUAGCCUUGUCAGGAAGGCAAGGGAGCCCAGCCCACGUGGUUUGAAAGAAAUUCAAGAAACCGUCCAAUUCGAGCCAGAAGUUUUCAAACCGAAAAAUUUUAGGUUUAGGGAUCUUGGACUUAAAAGAAACCAGGCAAGGAACAUGGUCAGAGAUGUCUCCCGGCAUCGUUUUGGCACAGAAAUCUGGAUAAACGAUCGACCAUUCUUGAGAGAUGAAAAACCAAUCCAGCCUCUGAAGAAGGGGUUCCCUCUGUCUGUUCGACCAGGUGUAUGCUAAGCCGUGAAGGGGAAUUUCAAUCAAAUCUAAGUUGCUUAUUGCUUCAUUGAACUUCAGCAUUAAGUUAAUAUCACCCCCAGCCUUAUUUCUGUCUUUAGGCCGACGAAUUAAAUUUAAGUCCCCAACAAGGAGCCAAAGCUUGUCAGAAGGCAUAGAAAUAUUAUGCAGCCAAUUGAGGAAAUCGAUUUUCCCUUGUGAAGUACAAGGAGCAUAAACGUUUGUAAUAAUCUAGGAGCAAGCCGAUAAAUUUGAAGUAAAUUCCACCGACUGAGCAUAAUCAUUUUGGAAGAUAACAUUUCCUGAAAGUUUUGAGCUUUUCCAGAUGAUAACUGAACCUCUCGAGUUCCCCACCGAGGGAACAAAAGCAAAUGAAUCAAAUUGAGAAGGACAGAAGUUUUUUAGGUAAAACGAAUCAAAGAGAUCCUUUUUUGUUUCUUGUAGACAGAUAACAUCGCAUCUAGAAUCCCGAAUUGAACAACGAAUGGCGUUCCAUUUAAUAGUAGAAUUAAUUCCUCUAACAUUGUAACUCAGCACAGACCACUCCAAAUAAUUAACAUCAUUUAAGUUACUCAUUGAGUAAACUAGAAGUUUUUGAGCCAGAACGAUACCCAAAACAGUGGGUAAAAUAAGUGUCAGUCGGCAAGCAAAAGAGGAACAUAAAGGUAAAACAAGCACGCACAGGUGCCAGCCAAGUAUCUAGAAGUCCUGGGAAGACCCAACCCAUAAACAUGCACACCCAAAAGUUAGAGGGGCAAAAACCAUAGCCCAGACCACCCGCCUUCCACCUAGUGCUUAUCUUGCUUAUCCUCAUCUGUUGAGCCAUCAGUCCUCUCAUCAUCCGAAUCCUUUCUGCUUGUCCUAUGCUGGCCAACAGAUCCCACAGCAGAUUUCUUCUUCUUCAAACGGCGCUCAGAUAAGUCGUCAUAUGACAAGUUGCAGAACCCGCUCCCCAGAUUCUGAAUCACCUUGGAGGACAGCAAGGGUGGGCCAUCAAAGUUAUGCUGGCACAUGAGACAAUUCCUUUUUGGGCAGGCCCCAUUCCUGAACCCACCAUGUGAUUCCUUCAAGCGCUUACUUCUUCUGAGUUCAGACUCCACAAUGAUAGGUGCCGGGGCAUCACAACUGUCCGAUUCUUUGGAGCUCUCAGAAAGGACAUCAUCUAGAAGUUUAACAUUCGGACAUUCCUUAGGGAUGGCAAAAGGUAAAGAUUUCAGUCCCGGUUCUAGCAGAGUUGAGGGAAUUGCUGAUAACAGAAAGGACUUCUACCAACUGAAGGCUUCAGGUUGAAGCAGCUUCGAAAGAAAAAAGGGUGCCCAGUUCUUUGCGAUAUCCACCGAGGGGUCAGUUGACCCAGCAGGUGCAAAGUACAUGGCCCAAAGUCUGGAGAACUGGGCAGCUCUUUUCCUCUCCUCAAACAUCUGAAACACAGGGUCAGGUUGCCAUCCCUGAUUGACCAUGAAAUUCAUCUCUAAAUUCUGGAAAUGGUUAUUAUUUGGAUCCCCAACUUGGGCCUAAUGCGGCAAAUCAGCAAUACCAGGGACAGGGUCCACUUGAAGCGCCGGGCCAUCAACCUCCUGAGGCCCAUUGAAUGCAGCAAUAUUGACAGCAAGCCCAUCCCCUGGCAAAAUAGGACCAUUCUCAACAACAUGGCCAUUCUGUAGAGGUGCAACUUGACCAGCGCCAAAGGAACUAUCCGACGACAAGCCUGAGUGCUGAUUACUGAGUUGAAGCUCAUCCGGUUGAAUGGGUUGCAAAUCAGGCUGAAAGGGCUGCAGAAUCUGUUGAUUGGGUUGAACAUUUUCGAUCCACUAGUCCCAAUCCCCAUGGGCAUUGUCAUCCUGAAGAGCCGGCAAAUCACCACCCGCAUUCCCCGACGGGAAAUUUAGGUCAAGCCCAACCGGGGGCAUUGGCUGACCCAGACCGAAGAAAACCAAGGGAAGUUGCUGACCAUCUUCCGGGGCAGGAGGAAUAGGGUCCUCAUCCUGAGCCUGCCCGCCAAGCAUGUUUUGCUGAAUAAUCUCACACUGAACAGUCCAAGAAUCACCAACGAAGCCCUCAGCCUCCAAAAAAACAAUGAAUUGAGGAACUUCUUCAAAGGAAGUGACACGGACACGAAGCAAGGUUCUAGAAACAUUACUCCGAUCCUCCUCCCAAAGAAUCAACCUGCAAACGACCCAAUGGCUGCUUGCAAGUACUCCGAGGAACAGUAAUCCAGGGGAAACCCCAGUAGCAUAAGCCAACAAUCAUGGUUGAACAAAAGAGCCCGAUGAUUCCAGGCGUCAUUGUGGCGAACAUCAGUGAAAGUAGCAUCUAAGUAUUGUUGGGGGCCAAGCAGAACCAAAUUGUCUCGCUCCAAAACACUGCGAAACUGCACUAGCACCUGGCCCAAAUGAGAGCGCUGGAUGGCUCUAACCCCAACCCUUCGAUGUUCCACAAGGUACUCUCUGACCACAUCUCUGACCGCAGGGAACAAGACCUCAUGCUCAGGUAAAGGAUGAAUAUUGAUAAUCGCCCAUUCUUCAUGCAUUGGCGGUAAUCUCUGCAAGACUGACCUGACAAUGAUUUCAAGAUGCUGCACCGCCGAAGCGUGGAAGCCUGGCGGGAGGAAAGGCUCCGGGUCGACGCGCCGGUACGCCAUAGCAAGAUUUUCCGAAGAUCGCCGGUGAGCCGAAGGCAAGGUAGCGGUUUGGGGUUUUGGUGAAGUCACACCCAGCGAGAGCUCCAAGGACGCUACGGGCGCCUGUUCGUAUUUUUUAAUAAGACCGCCCUGGCAAACUCCUCGAAGCAGGCAAAUAUGGGAGGGGCCCCAGCCGUCAGAGACCCCGGGGUAGGGCGGAACCAGGAGCCGUAAACCGGGAAAUGAGACGUCCCUUCCAAAAGGCAAUUGCUUUCAAAGGAAGGGAACGAAGCGAGGGGAAAUCCGAAUACUGUUUUCUUAAGAUUGCAAAACAAUUCCAAAUGCCCCUUAACUUUACAAUAGUGGCAGAGAAACACUGAGGGAGCCGCACCAGACGAACCAGCCUUCACAGAGAUGGAAGAGGCCGAAGGGCCAGGCCCAGGCAUGAAAGGCCCAUUGCGCAGAAUGGGCCGCCAAUGAAGCUUACGGAUCCUGAGGAGACCAGCAUUUGAAUUUGAAAAAGGGCGAUCAUCAUGCCCCUGACGACCACGUCUAAUCAAGCUUCCGUUGUGCCUAGGAAAACUCACCGAAGAAGAAAGCCUGAGAGGAGGAUUGCUUAUCGGGGUUCCCGAGGACUUAGCAAAGACUGAAUACUGCGAGCCCCGAGCCCCUGAAGAGGUUCCCAAUCUUUUGAAGACAGAUAGCCUUGGCUCCUCCAAAUUACCAGGGAAGCGAGGAGACAACCUACGUCGACGAAUUGGAACAGCGUUCGCACCAGUCAACGGCGGAAUCCUAACAAUAUUAGCAAACGAUUUUUUUCUUGCCCUUAACAAACCACCAGUUGGCAUUUUCCUCCUGAAGAAAUAAUCUGUAUUCGUAGAUCCAAUUUCGUCCACCAAAGUUCCACAAGUUGAAGAAAGCCUUGAAUUCCGGAUGAACAAUGCAUUUAGAAUUAUAAAUGUGAAAACCAACAGCCUUGGAGGAAACUGUGAAGCGGAACACCCGAUCAGCAAGCUGAGAAACAUUGAAUCCCCUGGCAAAACCACCCAGAGCAGCUUGAAGAAGAUGACUAACUGAAACCGAGUCAAGCUUGAAGAUGCAGCGGCCAAACGAGACCACCAGCCAAAAGGCCGACGGACAAUCUGGACUUCUAGAACACACAGGGGAGGCAAACCGGCGCCUGACAUCAUCUUCGAAUAGCAAACCCGGUCGAAAGUCCAGCCUUGACAAAUCCAUCACGCAAGAUGAAGAAGACCAAGAAGAGGGGAAUGGAAAAGCACAGACGCGAGGUGAUACAAACUCGAGAGACAACCAAAGACGAAGAGGAUGCAGCUAGCAGACAAGAGCCCACCGUCAGGAUCCUCCACGGAACAAGCACACGACCGACCCCAAUGAAGCCAUCAGCGAAGCAGGAGCCUGUACCCUGGGCGGUUAGGCCGUUCCUAGCUAGACACGAUGUUGUUGGCGAGAAUAAUAAUUUCAUCAUGAUGGAUGAUUUCGUCCAAGAUGUGGUUGAUGUCCAGGGUGAAAAUGAUGGGGAGCUUAGUGAGGAGACCUUGGAGGUCCUCGAGGAUGCAUAGUUCUUUGAUGAAUUCAUUAACCACCUCAAUAAUGAUGACCUUCUAUUUGGGAGCCCAUGGUGGAUAGAGAGCCUCAAAGAAUUGAAACAUGUGACAAUGGGUCUGCUCUAUAAGGAUUGUCCAAAGGAAUGGAGGAUGUUGUAUUUUGAUCUCCAAAUGUGGAUGUUGAAGGGUCUUUUUGGAUGGUCCUACACUAGCUUCAAUGAGUUGCUAAGUAAUCUUGGUUCUGUGCUUCUAAAGGACAAUAAAGUGCUCGCCAACAUUUAUCGAGCGAAGGAGCUAAUAUGGCUAGUGUCACAAAGUCUUCAAAAGAUCCGCUCUUGUCCUAACCAUUGUAGAAUAUACGGGGCACCCAAUAUAUGAGCUUAGGGAGCUAUCCACACCAUGACACGAGUCAAUACAAGAGGAAUGUUUGGUCUCGCGUGGAUGCGAACGACGAGAGAGCCUUGAGUGAGAAAAAGAAGGUGACCAAGAAGAGUAGUGUGAAUUGUUGGACCGGAUCGACGGCGAACAGCGCAAAGAACUCAGUGUAGCGCAGUGCCGCCGGAGCGCGAUCACCACGUCUCAACGGAAGAGAGGACACAGUUGUAUUUUCUGUUGCUGCAACUGUGCAACCUUGCAAAUGCAUUCAACUGGGAAUUAAAACACCCGGAUCCGUCUUCCCCGCUGCACUCAACUGCUGCGAGACGUGCCGUAAUUUCAGCAACGUCCGCGACAUGCACGGCGAGCUAAGUCGCAGCGAAAAAACGCCCUUUGAAGCGGUCACGGCGAGGACUGAGUGCACCCAUCAGUCCGCCCAUGAUUCUACGCUGAAUUACAAAAAUGCACGCGCAAUCUAAAACAAACUAAUGCACCUACUAACAAUAUCCCUGACAAGAUUACAGUGAGGCUACUGCAACAUUUACCCCCCAUAAUCUUGUUAAUCUGCAAUUCGAAUUAUUCCAAGCUGUCUCCUCAACUCUGUGAACCGAAUUCUUCCCAGAGGCUUCGUCAAGAUAUCUGCUAGCUGAUCAUCUGAACUUACAUGUUCAAUAUCAAGAACACCACUGCUCACACACUCCCUAAUGUAAUGAUACCGGGUGUCGAAUAUGUUUACUUCUCUCAUGGUACACAGGAUUUUUGCUCAGUUCUUGUGCCGACCGGUUGUCUAUCAAAAGCUUCAAACUCUUCUGCUCAGUACCCAGUAGGUCUGCAAGAAGCCGGUUUAACCAAACACCUUGAUAGGCUGCUAUUGCAGCUGCUAUAUAUUCAGACUCACACGAUGAAAGUGAUACUACCUUUUGUUUCUGAGAAGUCCAGGUGAUUAUGUUCGUACCCAGAAAGAAAACUACACCACUAGUACUCUUUCUCUUUACAAGAUCUCCAGCAUGAUCACUAUAUCUGAGUAUCCGAAAAGUUCUGACGCCACCCCUCUUAGGUAUCUACACCCGAGAUGCUUUGUGCCUGAUAUAUAGCGGAUAAUUCUCUUGACAGCAGCCCAAUGUUCUGCAUUUAGUGACUCCAUCAAUCUACUAACCAUUCCCACCGCUACUUUUUGUUCUCGUAGCAGACCUAUUACAGUGCAUCAUUAACAAGGCUCAUCAACUUGGCCUCCUUCAGCUCCCCUUGCCACCCAAAGAUGGGGCUGGAUUUCCGAUUAUACAAUAUGCCGAUGAUACAAUUAUUGUCAUGAAAGCCUCACAAAGGGAGCUUUUCUGCUUAAAAGCUUUGCUCGAGAGUUACGCCCUAUCAACAGGGCUAAUAAUCAACUACGUAAAAUCCUGUUUAGUUCCUAUCAACACUGACAGUAAAAAAACUAAACUUCUUGCUGGUCUCUUUGGUUGCAAGAUUGAAUCUCUUCCCUUUACAUAUUUGGGGCUACCGAUGGGGACAACAAAGCCAAGGGUUGAGCACUAUGGACCCAUUAUGAGCAAGAUUGAAAGGAAGGUAACCUCCAUCUCUUCUAUGUUGUCACAUGCAGGGAGACUUCAACUUGUCAACUCUGUCCUCUCGUCUCUACCAACAUACGCCAUGUGCACCUUACAAGUUCCAGCUGCGGUCUUGGAGUACAUUGACACAGCCAGACGACACUGUUUGUGGCGUAAUUCUGAUAGCAAUGCAAAAUCUAAGCCUCUGGUGGCUUGGAAUAAAUGCACACGACCAAAGAAAAAAGGUGGUCUGGGGGUCAUCAACCUAAGAAGCCAGAACUCGUAUCUCCGAAUGAAAUUUCUUCACAAGCUCUACAACAGGAAACAAAUCCCUUGGGUUAACCUGGUUUGGAAUACCUACUACUCUAACGGCAAGACCCCUCAUGCAUCCAAGUUCAUGGGCUCAUUUUGGUGGAGAGACGCCCUUAAACUUUGUGAUCUCUUCAGAGGAAUCUCCAACUGUAAGGUUGGAGAUGGUAAAACUGUUCUAUUUUGGCAUGAUUUAUGGAAUGACAACAUCUGCAGAAACAAAUUUCCAAGGCUUUUCACCUUCGCAAAAAAUCAAAGCAUUUCGGUUGCUUCCUUUUUGACUUAGGAGAACUUGACAGACAAUUUCCACUUACCCCUUACUGAGCAAGCAAACACCGAGCUGCAACAGCUCCUGGAUGAAGUGCAACAAAUUCGAGAAUCAGUGAUUGAACCAGAAGAGAAAGACUCUUGGAGUUAUAUUUGGGGGAAUAACACCUACUCGUCAACUAAACUUUACCACUACACUUUCAAAAAUGUGAAUCCUCCAAAACCAUUUCUCUGGAUCUGGGAGUCCAGAUGUUCAAACAAGCUUAAAGUCUUCGCCUGGCUACUGUUGAUGGACAUGCUGAACACCAUAAACAUCCUAAAGAGAAAGAACUUUAAGGUGCAAGGCGACAACUACAGGUGUGCUCUUUGUCAACUUCAAAGAGAAGAAACUGCCUUCCAUUUGUUUUUCAAUUGCCCUUUCAGCAAAGACUAUUGGAGACAUCUGAAUAUUCAGUGGAACCACCAUAUUGACUUCUUUGCGACCUUUCAACAAGCCAGGGACUUGCACGGUUCACCAUUCUUUAUGGAGGUCUUUAUCAUAGCAGCUUGGCGAAUCUGGAAGCAAAGAAACAGUUUUAUCUUUGACAGGGGACGACCAUCUUUCAUUGGCUGGAAAAAAGAAUUCCGCGCCGAAGCUCUUCUGCAAGCUAAUCGCUUUUCUGAAGAGAAAUCAACUCUUUUCUCCUCGCUUGUGAAUUCCUAUAGAUAGGAGAUAGUUUUUUUUCCUGUGCUUUAGUUAGUUUCCUUCUAGUUUAUGUCUUGGGAGCGACUGCUAAUGCUCUUUAUCCGUCUUCUUCUUUAUAUUAAUAUAUAUCUACCACAACAGGGGCUUCCCUUGCUGUACAUUUUCAAAAAAAAAGUAGGACAGGUCAGGUCUGGUAUUUACCAAAUACCUCAAGCUAACAACAAUACUCCUAUAUCUAGUUGCGUCCAAACUGUGUUUAGGUUUACCUGGUGUCAGUUUCAGAUGUUGCUCCAUUAGAGUGUCAACUGGAUUACAACAUGUCAUACCACAGGCUUCAAUUAUUUUCUCUGCAUAGGCACUCUGGCCAAUGGUUACUUCACCUGGAUUUUGUUUUACUUCAAUGCUGAGAUAGUAACUCAGUAGACCCAGGUCACUCAUACUAAAGGUAGCCAUCAUCUGCUGUUUGAAAACAGCUAUGCACUCUCUGUCAGGGCCACAUAUAAUAAGGUCAUCCACAUACAGCCCAACUAGUAGCAAACUCAUUUCCACCCCUCUUCUGUAAACUGCAUGCUCUUUAAGGCUCCUUUGAAGCCCAGUUGACCAUUUCAAGAUCAAGUCUGGCAUUCCAAGCUCUAGGAGCCUACUUCAGUCCAUAUAGAGCCUUUUUUAGUCUUAGAACCUUUCUUUUUGAAUUUGAAUCAGAAAAACCUGGUGGUUGGUUUACAUAUACUUCUUCCUUGAGAUCCCCAUUCAGAAAGGCUGACUUUACAUCCAUGUGGUGUACUUCACAUUCACCUUGAGCUGCAAGAGUCAAUAGAAUCCUUACUGUUUCUAGCCUUGCCACAGGUGCAAAAACUUCCUCAUAAUCCACUCCAUGAAUCUGAGAAUAACCCUUUGCAACUAAUCUGGCCUUACGUUUUACCACUUCACCGGCUGGGUUCCUUUUCACCUUGAAGACCCACUUCAGCCCAAUAGCCUUGUGGUCUUUUGGAAGAUCAGCAAUUUCCCAGGUAUUGUUCUUCACUAUUGACAUCAUCUCCUCUUCCAUGGCUUGCCUCCAGCAAGCUUGUUCAAGAGCCUAAUCAACACUAGCGGGCUCAUCUGCAGCCAGCAUACAAACCCCACUAUAUUCAAAAUCCAGAUCUUGGUAUGUUGAGUCAUACAGAUCGUUCAAGCUUAUGUACCUGUAGACCCCUUGACUCGAGAAGCUUGAAUCAUGGGAAGGUGGAGUUACUGAUCCCUGGUUAUGUGUGGAGCCGGGAGCUGAAAUGGGAGUGGAAUUUGGUGUUUAUGGCUGACCCAUCUCACUUCCCUGUUCAACUGAGUUCACUCCCCCUAAGUUUUGAUCAGAAGAAAUUUCAGUUUCAACAAUUUCUUCUAUUGUCGUCUCUCUGUCAGUUUUAUCAUAAUGAACCUCAAACAUGUCUGGAUCUUGACUGUUUUUUUUGAAAGGAAGGGGCAAAAGACUUGCCGCUCCGAUAUAUAUUAGAUUAGAGAAGAAAGAACGGGAGAAUACAAAACCAAAGCAACUGGAGGGAAGAAGAAAAGAAAGAAAAAAUAAAAGGAAUUAAAAAGAGUUUAAAAAGAAAACAAAGAACCACUAGUCAAGUCCAACAAGACCUCAGCUACUAGCAAUAUCCUUCACUGCAAGAGCCACUGGUUCUACGCUUCUAUGCUGACUUUGAAAAAUUAUGUUAUUUCUUUCCAACCAUAAAUUCCACCAAAAAUGAAUUAGCAGACCGUCGAAACAUCUUCUUGACUGUCUGUUGCAAAGGCUACGCAGACCCGUCCACCAAUCAUACAAAGAUGUGGAACUGGGAAUCCCAGACAGGAAAGGAAGGUUGGCCCAAGACAACACUUUGCUCCACACCUCUCUACUAAAGGGGCAAUCCUUGCAUAAGCGGAGAAUUGUUUCUGGGGCCGAGUUGCAGAGACAACAUAUUGGGUUGCAAGGCCAACCCCUUUUAUGAAGGUUAUCAGCAGUUAGGAUUCUCUUAUGUAGUAGUGUCCAAGCAAAAAAGCGGCACUUCGGUUCCACAUUAGCCUUCCAAAUGGGACAGAGAUUCAUUUUACUGUAAUUGGAUGAGAAUUGGAUUUUGUAUGCACUGCUUGCACUGUACUGCCCAUCUGUCGUCCAUCUCUAAGAAAUGGUGUCCUCCAAACCAUUAAGCUUCUGCAUGUUACCUAUGGCCUGCCAUAGAGAGACGAACUCUCUUAGCUCCCCCUCACCCGUGUAUGGGGAGCAUAAUCGUAUCCAAUUGUUGUUAGUGAGCGCUUUGUCAACCGUGAUGUUCUUCCUCUUUGCCUUCUUGAAUAGAGAUGGUGCAAUGUUCUUAGGGGCUUGGCCUUGGAUCCAGCUAGAUUUCUAGAAUUCAGCUAUCUUUCCAUUGCCAACCGUCACAGUUGUGGAAGCAUUGAAGAGAUCUUCAUCAGUUUUGUCACAAGGAAGCUUCAUGGCAGUCCACGCCCUGUCUUUGCUCUUCCAUCGCAGCCAUAGCCAUCUUAGUCUUAACCCCCUCGCAAAACGAUCAAGAUCCAGAAUUCCAAGACCCCCCUUGUUCUUUGGGAGGCAAGUGAUGGGCCAGUUGAUAAGGCAGUGACCCCCGUUGCAAGCAUCUGGAUUGCUCCCUUUGCACAGUAAGUUUCUUCUCAUUUUGUCAAUUGCUUGCAACAGCCAUUUUUGAGGUGGGAAAACCGUUAGGUGGUAGGUUGUUUGUGCGGAUAGCACCGAUUUUACUAGAGUUUCCCUACCAGCCUUGGACAUCAGUUUGCCUUUCCAGCCAGCCAACCUGUUAUUAAUUUUUUCGAUUAGUGGUUGGAGAUCAAUCCUUUUUACAUUCCGGUAAUGAAGGGGUAACCCAAGGUACUUCCCGGGUAGGCUAGUGUAUUUUCCAGGAAACACAUCCAUUAGCGUUGGCCAUAAUGAUGCUGGAUAUCGAAAUGGGAAAAUUUCUGUUUUGUCAUAGUUGAUCUUUAGCCCUGAACACCCCUUGAACGCGUUGAGAAUCCCUUUCAGCACCUCCAAGUCUAAUUUGUCAGCUCUAACAAACACGCCCGCAUCAUCCGCGUAGAGAGAGCACCGAAGCUUAGCCCCUCUAGGCAGCACCUGUUCAAGCAGUCCAUCUUCAGUGGCCUUCUCAAUCAUCCGAUGUAGCGGGUCCAUCGCUAAAAUGAAAAGGAAGGGAGACAGAGGGUCCCCUUGUUGCACCCCCACGCCUGUGUUUGAUUGCAUUUGAAUGUUGCCCAUUUAUAAUUAUUCUUGAGGAGGAUGAUCCCAUGAUUUCAGCUACCCAAUUGCGCCAUUUCUGGGAGAACCCGCAGGCCCUUAACACAUCCAAGAGAUAUGCCCAAUUCAGGGUGUCGAAAGCUUUGGAGAUGUCGAGCUUGACAAAAAGAGCUGGAUUACCUUUUUUUAUGCAGAUUCAUGAUCACCCUUUGCAUGUAUAUAAAGUUGUCAUGAAUUGAUCGGUUCUGGAUGAAGGCGUUCUGAGCGUUGGAGAUAAUUUCGUUCAUUCUUGGAGCAAGCCUAUUUGCCAUGAUUUUUGUUAUAAUUUUCAUGAAGCUAUUGAUCAGGCUGAUUGGCCUAAACCUAUCAAUUCUGUCAGCAUUUUCCCCCUUCGGUAUGAGGAUGAUGUUUGCUUCGUUGACCAGAUGCAGACUUUUGGAUCUAUGUUGGAAAAAAUCAUUUAUUGCCAUGGAAAGGUCAUUUUUGAUCAACUCGAAGCAGCAUUUGUAGAACAGGCCAAUGAACCCAUCCAGCCCGGGGGCCUUUUCAUAUUGAAGCCCCAUCACAACGUCCUUGAUUUCACUGUCAUCAAUCAAGUUGUCCAGCUCAGAUAACUCAAAAGGAGCAUACCCCAGAUGGUCCCAAUGAACAGCACUACUCCUACCUGUCGUGCCUAGUACCUGGCCGAAGUGAUGUUGUACCUCGUUCAUUUUGUCUUCCUGACUCGUCAACAGUGUGCCAUCUCGAAUUAGCGAUCUGAUUAAAUUUUUCCUUCUUCUGUUAUUGGCCGCUAAGUGAAAGAACUUAGUGUUAGCAUCGCCCAACCGCAUCCAAGUAAGUCUGGAAUGUUGUCUUGCACAUGACCUCUGAGCGGAGGCAAUAUCCAGAAUCUUGAUUUUAAGAGUCCUCCUGAAUUCCAAUUCUUCGGAGGAGAGUUGUCUAAUCUCUUGUGCUUUCUCCAGAAGAGUGAGGAUGAUCUGAAUGAUAGCCAUCUGCACUUUGAAGUUGCCAACUGUAUUGCGUCUCCAGGCCAAUAGAGCCUUGGCCGAGCAAGUCAUCUUUACGUGAAGUCGAAGGAUGGCAUCAUCAGUGUUUACUGUAGAAUUCCAUGCUUGAUGGACUACCUCGUUGAACCCCUCAAUCUGUGGCCAGAAAGAUUCGAAUCUAAACCCCCGGUAGAAGUUAACCGAAGAGUGGCCUUGCAUUAAAAGCGGGCAGUGGUCCGAUGUCAUGGUGCACAUGGAGUGCAGGUCAGCCGAGGGAUACAGGUCAUGCCACUCUGUUGUCGCAAAGAAUCUGUCAAUCCUAGUCAUGGUAGGGUCAACUUGCUCAUUUGACCAGGUGAAUGCUCUAUCGGUGAGAUCUAGCUCUAAGAGAUGCAGAUCAUCAAUUAUGCUAUUGAACUGCCUCAUCACCCUUCUGUUGAUUGAUCCUUUGUUUUUCUCCCUUGCUCUCCUGAUCAUGUUGAAUUCACCUAAUAACACCCAUUCUGGUCUCACCAUGGUUUGGAUGUUACGGAGCUCAGAGAGGAAUAUCAUUUUUUCAUUGUCCAGUUGGGGUAAGUAGACACCCAUGAGGUCCCAAACCUCAUCCACCAAUCUAGAAUUGAUCCUGACUGACAGUGAAUAGGCUGAUGAACAUGGUAAGAGAACCAUGUCAAAAUAAUCCGAAUCAGCAGCGAUUAGGAUUCCGCCCGAGGCGCCCAGAGAAGGUAAGUGAAAAGUUUGGUUUGCAAGCUUGGCACCUACAGUUUCCUUUAAUAAUACAUUUGACCAGCUCGAGAUCUUUGUCUCUUGAAGGCAAACAAUGGAUGCGCCAGUGGACAAAAUUGUAUGCCUUACGCUUUCUCUCUUAGCGUGGUCGUUUAACCCCCAUACAUUCCAAGAAAAAUAGAGCAUUUCAGAUUCAUAAGGUAAUAAAAACCACUCUAGUUGAGACAGUACGAAGCCACCAAUCAUAUCUCAGCCAGGAACCCUGCUGCAGCGAACUAACAGGAAAUAAUGCUUUCAGACAAGGAUUCGCCGAGCCAAUAGAUUGCCCAGACCCAAACGACAAACUGAAAAAACAGAGAUACAAAGGCAUGCCAGGGACCCUAUAGCACUGCCCAGACGCACUAAAACCAGCAGAGAUUAAACAGCGAACAAAGGGAAGGCUGAGCCCGGAACCGCGCCGAUAGCGCCUAGCCAUCUGAGUAAACAUUGAUCUCCAAAAGAACCACCAACAGGCCUAGUCAAGGAGCUCAGAUCCCCUUUGCCUUCACGACUUUGAUGGCCGGCACCACCUUUCGACCCUUCUUUUUAGACUUCACUGCCUUCACAUUGUCUUGAUUUAUCAGCUCCAUGAUUGCCUCCAUUUGCUUCUUGGAGAGAGGCCUUGUGAAUAGACAUGUGAUCUGCUCAAAUGAAUCAUCAAAGUCAGUAAAGCCUGAAGAACUAGAGCGGUCUGAUUUUUUUACUGCAGAAUUGUUAAGUUUGGCGAGUAUGAUUUCCUGGGCUUUGGAUAUCGCAUCCUGGUUACUCCUAGUCUUAAUGCAUUUCUUCGCAGCCAGCCUAACACUUGAUCUUCUAGUGGUGGGUUGGUUCUGAAAUUUUAAUGGAUGUGAUGUGGUCGUGCUACUUUUCGGCGGGGAUGGAAUCAAUGGUGGCUCUGGUGGAUUUGUUAUUGCCGCGAUGAAGUCGAGCAACUGAGUAUUGUCGGCCGAGCUAUUCCCUGUCCUCAGAGCAGGAGAAGCUCUUAAGGUUUCAUGAUUAUCACUAUCAGCUGGUUGAAAAUCUGGUUGAUUGUCACUAUCGACUGGUUGAAAAACUGGGCCGGGUAAGUCAUGGAUAAAUGAGGCACCCAUUAGGCCGACCCGAUCAGCAGCAGGCAUGUUGUAAUCUAUAGCUUGAUUAUCAUUCACAAGUUGAGAGCCUAAAAACUCAAUCGGUUGGACAGCUAGGGCCUUGGCUAGAGUAGAAGUGUUUAGGUUCACGCUAGUGGAACACGCCAGCACACUGUCUAAACUGUUGUGAAUUGUGGCAAAAACAUUAGUGAGAUCAAUAGUAUUGGUUACCUUGCACUUGGAGGUAGCAGGGUCGUGCGAGGUUUCCUGGUUGUCACCGCCAAUAGAGCUUGACUUGCUUCCAACACCAUCAGUUAGCCCCAGACUGUCCUCCUGCGGUCAAACAACAGAAACAAUGGUGUCUGCAAAUGAAACAAUUUUGACCUUCGCCUUGGGCACCCAGCGAGAUGACGGUGUCAUCCCCAGACCAUGACGACGAAAAGGAGUUGAAUGCCUAUGCUUGUCGUUGGAGCUAUAUCAGUCAUCCAUCCCCCCCGCAUCACGACGAACGCGCCCAACCGGAAAGGCUACGAUGUCUACGGUUGCCGCUGUGUCUGUCACGCUGAAAGUCCCCUUCAUCAUCAUCGUGGCCCCAGUCACGGCGCACAGUCUCUCUACCUCUGAAAGCUUCUGCACGUUCUAUUUUUUCGCCCACUGAGUCCGGGGCGCCAUAGUUCCAAACAAACUCUCUGUGCUGCUUGCGAUUAGGAGGCCCCCUGGAUCCCCUCCCAUGGAGGAACGAGAGGUCUUCCACAACCUCGAUGUGAUUGCGAAGGGUGUAAACAUGGCCAGCUUUCAGAUCAGAAGGUUCAUCAUGAUGAGCACCAACAAGUGGUAAGGGGGUGUUGAUUGGUGGAAGCUCCCUGUCUAGUUCUAAUAGCGUUAGCUGGACCUCUUUGGGGAUGUCACAAGGGUCAGAGCACCAUGCCCAGAGAUCGAAAGACCUAGUGCGCUCUCUAUGCCUUGUGCGCUCUUGCACAUAGUGGAUUGCACAGCUCUUGCCCAAGGCCUUCGAAGCCACUUCUUCCCCCCAACAGUGAACCAGAAUCCAUUCAACCCGGACUUUAACUCUAAAUUCAAGGUUUGUUUUCCUAGCAUAGUUGUCCUCUGACCAAUCACCAAAAUGGAAAAUCCGGCCACGAUACGAGACCGAUCUCCUAUCUAGCGCCCAUAGCUUCGACCUUGGAUCCGGGAAGAUGAUAAAGAAUUGCUCAGGAAAGUGCUUGACUAGUUGAUACUGACCGUAGUGAAGGUUGAACUUCUCCCUCAGCAUGUCUCCUGCAGAUAAUGUGUCAACCUCAUGACUGUUGCCGUCGAAGGAGCAAACUACAGCCUUGUCAAUCAGGUCGUCUCUGCGGCGACGGAUGGAGCCGGUCGCCGAGACCGAACAGAAGGCACGCGAUGUCCUUCCCCGAGGAUCUCUAGGGUAGCGAGCCUCCAUUCAUUGGCCUUCCUGAACAGCCUGGAGGAAGGAUUUCUUGUGUAUGAGGGGCAGUUGACUGAGCGGAGCCUUCCGGGGUUGCUCCUGGUACUUAUGGAGGUCGUCGGGCCAUAGCAGCAGCUCAUGGUAGGUAGAGCUCUUUGAUGGAUGCUCGGAUGGUUUAGGAUUAUAGCGAGCAACAUUGAAUGUCCCCUGGGAGCUUUUCUGGUUGCAGGACCUCGCCCGGUGUCCAAAUUGUAGGCAAUGCCAGCAGCGCGUAGGAGCCGAGCAGCAAAAAGCGAGAUGUUCUGGUGAGAGACAGUUGUAGCAUUUACCCUUGAGAUUCAAUUUGAAAAGACUGGUGCCCUUCAUGUCAAAUUGAUGUUUUUGCGGAGCUCUCUCAGGAGCCAUCAAGUUCUUGCGCCACCAGUACCGCGGCCUGACCACAGACCAACCCCCUUCGUUGACAUCCGGAGCAGCAAGAUAUGGCUGUCCAUUCAUACGCGACGCAACAUUGAGACCUUCAGCACGUCGAUGGGACAAAACGCUGCCUGAAUUCAAAGCCCGAUCCGCCUUGCAGGAAUGCUGGAAGCCCGACGAGCAGUCUGCUUCCCACUUGGCUUUUUUAGUCGCCAGGAUACUCGACAUUGAAGUCUGACGUUGUGGAUCUCCAUGUACCGCCUGCACUGGGCGUGAUUCUGCUGUGGUUCUUGAGAUUAGAUCCAAAUUGGUUGUUGAAUAAGAGCCAUCGCCGGUCGCGAUGGUGAAAGUCGCCUAGAGGGGGGUGAAUAGGGCGAAUCUGAAAUUUACAAACUUAAUCACAACUACAAGCUGAGUUAGCGUUAGAAAUAUAAACGAGUCCGAGAGAGAGGGCGCAAAACAAAUCACAAGCGAAUAAGGAGUGUGACACAUGGAUUUGUUUUACCGAGGUUCGGUUCACGCAAACCUACUCCCCGUUGGGGUGGUCACAAAGAUCGGGUCUCUUUCAACCCUUUCCCUCUCUCAAACGGUCCCUCGGACCGAGUGAGCUUCUCUUCUCAAUCAAACGGGAACCAAACUUCCCCGCAAGGACCACCACACAAUUGGUGUCUCUUGCCUUGGUUACAAUUGAGUUGAUCGCAAGAAAGAAUGAGAGAAAGAAGCAAUCAAAGUGCAAGAGCUCAAAUGAACACAACAAAUCUCUCUCACUAAUCACUAAAGCUUUGUGUGGAGUUGGGAGAGGAUUUGAUCUCUUUUGUGUGUCUUGUAUUGAAUGCUAGCUCUUGUAAGUAGUUGGAAGGUGGAAAACUUGGAUGCCUUGAAUGUGGGGGUGGUUGGGGUAUUUAUAGCCCCAACCACCAAACUUGACCGUUGGUGGAGGCUGCUGUCGAUGGGAGCACCGGACAGUCCGGUACGCCAGCCACGUCACCAGGCCGUUGGGUUCCGACCGUUGGAGCUCUGUCUUGUGGGCCCGCCUGGCUAUCCGGUGGUGCACCGGACAGGCCCUGUAGGCUGUCCGGUGUGCCACCCGCGCGUGCUCUGCUCCUCUGCGCGCGCAGGCACGCAUUUAAUACGUUGCAGUCGACCGUUGCGCGCGAAGUAGUCGUUGCUCCGCUGUCACACCGGACAGUCCGGUGUGCGCCGGACACUGUCCGGUGACUCACCAGACAGUCUGGUGAAUUAUAGCGGAGCAGAUUCCCGAAGCUGGCGAGUUCAGAGUUGCUCUCCCUUGGAGCACCGGACACUGUCCGGUGGUGCACCGGACAGUCCGGUGCGCCAGACCAGGGCACACUUCGGUUAUCCCUUGCUCUCUUUGUUGAACCCUUUUCUUGGUCUUUUUAUUGGCCUUUUGUGAACCUUUGGCACCUGUAGAACUUAUAGACUAGAGCAAACUAGUUAGUCCAAUUAUUUGUGUUGGGCAUAUCAACCACCAAAAUCAAUUAGGAAAUAGGUGUAAGCCUAAUUCCCUUUCAAUCUCCCCCUUUUUGGUGAUUGAUGCCAACACAAACCAAAGCAAAUAUAGAAGUGCAUAAUUGAACUAGUUUGCAUAAUUGUAAGUGCAAAGGUUACUUAGAAUUGAGCCAAUAUAAAUUUUCAUAAGAUACACAUGGAUUGUUUCUUUAUUUUUAACAUUUUGGACCACGCUUGCACCACAUGUUUUGUUUUUGCAAAUCCUUUUGUAAAUUCUUUUCAAAGUUCUUUUGCAAAUAGUCAAAGGUAAAUGAAUAAGAAUUUUGAGAAGCAUUUUCAAGAUUUGAAAUUUUCUCCCCCUGUUUCAAUUGCUUUUCCUUUGACUAAACAAAACUCCCCCUCAAUAAAUUCUCCUCUUAGUGUUCAAGAGGGUUUUAAGAUACCGAUUUUGAAGGUGCUACUUUCUCCCCCUUUUGAACAUAAUGAAAUACCAAUUUGAAAAUCAUGAGUUUUAAAAUUAGGUGGUGGUGCGGUCCUUUUGCUUUGGGCUAAUACUUUCUCCCCCUUUGGCAUGAAUCGCCAAAAACGGAUACUUUGAUUGAAAUAUAAGCCCUUUUAAACUACUUUCUUCCCUUUGGCAAACAAAAUAUGAGUGAAGAUUAUACCAAAGACGGAGAGAUGCUCGGAGCGACGGCGAAGGAUGAGUUAUGGAGUGGAGUGGAAGCCUUUGUCUUCGCCGAAGACUCCAAUUCCCUUUCAAUAUACCUAUGACUUGGUUUGAAAUUCACUUGAAAACACAUUAGUCAUAGCACAUGAAAGAGACAUGAUCAAAAGUAUAUUCAUGAGCUAUGUGUACAACACAUCAAAAGAAAUUCCUAGAAUCAAGAAUAUUUAGCUCAUGCCUAAGUUUGUUAAAAGUUUGUUCAUCAAGUGGCUUGGUAAAGAUAUCGGCUAAUUGAUCUUUAGUGUUAAUGUAUGCAAUCUCGAUAUCUCCCUUUUGUUGGUGAUCCCUUAAGAAGUGAUACCGAAUGGCUAUGUGUUUAGUGCGGCUAUGCUCAACGGGAUUAUCCGCCAUGCGGAUUGCACUCUCAUUAUCACAUAGAAGAGGAACUUUGGUUAAUUUGUAACCAUAGUCCCUAAGGGUUUGCCUCAUCCAAAGCAAUUGCGCGCAACAAUGGCCUGCGGCAAUGUACUCGGCUUCGGUGGUAGAAAGAGCUACAGAAUUUUACUUCUUUGAAGCCCAAGACACCAAGGAUCUUCCCAAGAACUGGCAAGUCCCGGAUGUGCUCUUUCUAUUAAUCUUACACCCUGCCCAAUCGGCAUCCGAAUAACCAAUUAAAUCAAAGGUGGAUCCCCUAGGAUACCAAAGCCCAAACUUAGGAGUAUAAACUAAAUAUCUCAAGAUUUGUUUUACGACCGUAAGGUGAGCUUCCUUAGGGUCGGCUUGGAAUCUUGCACACAUGCAUACGAAAAGCAUAAUAUCCGGCCGAGAUGCACAUAAGUAAAGUAAAGAGCCUAUCAUCGACCGGUAUACCUUUUGAUCGACGAAUUUACCUCCCGUGUCGAGGUCGAGAUGCCCAUUGGUUCCCAUGGGUGUUUUGAUGGGCUUGGCAUCCUUCAUCCCAAACUUGUUUAGAAUGUCUUGAAUAUACUUCGUUUGGCUAAUGAAGGUGCCCUCUUGGAGUUGCUUCACUUGAAAUCCUAAGAAGUAUUUCAACUCCCCCAUCAUCGACAUCUCGAAUUUCUGUGUCAUGAUCCUACUAAAUUCUUCACAUGUAGAUUCGUUAGUAGACCCAAAUAUAAUAUCAUCAACAUAAAUUUGGCAUACAAACAAAUCAUUGUCAAGAGUUUUAGUAAAUAAAGUAGGAUCGGCCUUUUCGACUUUGAAUCCAUUAGUGAUAAGAAAAUCUCUUAGGCAUUCAUACCAUGCUCUUGGGGCUUGCUUGAGUCCAUAAAGCGCCUUAGAGAGUUUAUACACAUGGUUAGGAUACUCACUAUCUUCAAAGCCGGGAGGUUGCUCAACAUAGACCUCUUCCUUGAUUGGUCCAUUGAGGAAGGCACUUUUCACGUCCAUUUGAUAAAGCUUAAAGCCAUGGUAAGUAGCAUAGGCAAGUAAUAUACGAAUUGACUCAAGCCUAGCUACGGGUGCAUAGGUUUCACCGAAAUCCAAACCUUUGACUUGUGAGUAUCCCUUGGUCACAAGUCAGGCUUUGUUCCUUGUCACCACACCAUGCUCAUCUUGCUUGUUGCGGAACACCCACUUGGUUCCUACAACAUUUUGAUUAGGACGUGGAACAAAAUGUCAUACCUCAUUCCUAGUGAAGUUGUUGAGCUCCUCUUGCAUCGCCACCACCCAAUCCGAAUCUUGUGGUGCUUCCUCUAUGUCACACCCGGUUUUAGAAGGCAAACCGAAUGAGAACCAUGUACGUGCCAGGAUCAGUUAUUCACGUACACAGCAGUUACAUAAUAUGGACAUCAUCACACAGUGCUCAAAAUAGUAUUAAUAAGGGAAAUAGUCGAUUACAUCAUACGUCUGAGACGUCCAUAUAGUUCUUACAAUAAAUCAAAGUGCGGAAAAGAAACAUAGAUAACCGCGGCCUUCACAGGCAGCCGACUGGGGGGUUGCCGCUAACCCACACCUAGAACUCGUCGUAGUCUUGGAACUCCUGGAAGUCUCCUUCCACAGCUUCAUCUUCGCCUGAGCAGUGGUUGCAAUGCUGACAACCUGGGGAUGGGGGGGGUUUGGUGUGUAGAGCAAGGGUGAGUACACAUCAACAUACUCAGCAAGUAUCCUGUUUGGCUGUAGUGGACUAGCUGUAUGUGGGGGAUAAGUCAAGCAGUUGCUUUUAGUUGGUCAGAUUAUUACUUACUAGUAGAAAGCCAAGUUUUAGCAUUAACCCAAGUUAUUAACCCAAACAUACUCCUUUCCAAACGGAAAGAGUACCACUUACCAGCAUCAUAGUCAUAACCGGAACCAUCGAUCUCAUAACCACCUGUACCAA
rnacentral:lncRNA from 1 species